rnacentral:lncRNA from 1 species
CCCUCGGGACUAGAUUUAAAACUGUUACUUACUUCAAACCGCGCAAAAUCUUACUCCGCAAUGACUUUGCCCAUCGAAUCAAUUUCCAAAUGCCCUAAAUCUAGCCACAAGUAGUACGAUAUAAUUAAUAUAGGCUAAAAGAAUCAAUUCCACAAGGAAAACACGAAAUUGUAAGCCAAAAUCCGAAAUAGGCUCAACCCGGCCCCCGGGCCCACGCCUCGAAAUCUGACAAAAGUCACCAACCUCGAAAGCCCAUUGACUCACGAGUCUAACCAUACCAAAUUUAUCAAAAUCCGGCACCAUUUGGUCAUCCAAAUCCCCAAAAUCCAAUCUCCAAUUCUCAAGCCCUAAACCCCAGAAUUUCACUUCAAAAUCUCACUAACUAUGCGGGGAAAUCAGUGGGGAAACAAGUUUUAUGAUCCAAAACGAGUACAAGAAGCUUACCUCAAUAAUCACCUCGAAAAUCUUCUCCAAAAUCACCUAAGUUCGAGUCCAAAAUGUUGAAAUAAGAUUAAAAUCGCGAACCCUUGCUUUUAAACCUUCUGCCCAGACUUUUCGCACCUACUGCCAUUUAUCCGCACCUGCGGAAACAUUCCCGCUCCUACGGAAGUCACUUAUCCGCUGCCUCCACUUCUGUGAUCAAGGGACCACAUAUGCGGCUCAAUCUCACUCCUGCGCUCACCUGCCCGCUUCUGCGGCCAUCGCAUAUGCGGGAAAAUCUUCGCACCUGCAACAUCUGCUCAACUCAUCUUUGGCCGCUUAUGUGGUUCCUUCCCUGCUUCUGCGGGUGCGGUCACACCAGUAGCAGCAGCAUUUCAGCUACUUCAUCAACUCAAAAUCAAGUCCGUUAACCACCCGAAAUCAACCCGAGGCCCCCGGGACCUCAACCAAACAUACCAACUAGUCAUAUAACAUAAUGCGAACUUAGUCGAACCUUUAAAUCACCCAAGACAACAUCAAAAGACAGAUUACACCCGGAUUCAAGCCUAACAAACUUCUAAAGUUCCAAAUUCCACUAACGGCGCCGAAACCUAUCAAACCACAUCCGAUUGACCUCAAAAUUUGCACACCAGUCCUAAAUUACGUCACGAAACUACUCUUAUUCCCGGAAAUCAAAUCCGACCCUGAUAUCAAAAUUUCCACUUCCGGCCAAAUUUGCCAAAAUUCCAACUUUCACCAAUUCAAGCCUAAUUCUACUACGGACCUCCAAAUCACAUUUUGAACACGUUCCUAAGUCCAAAAUCACCCAACGGAGCUAAUGAAACCGACGGAACUCCAUUCCGGAGUCAUCUUCAUACAAAUCCGACUACAGUCACAAUCCUAAGGCUUAAGCUUCCGUUUUAGGGUCUAAGUGUCCCAAAACACUCCGAAACAAAAAAUAAAACUUCCCGGCAAGUCACAUAAACAGAAACAGACUCGGGGAAAGCAGAAAAUAGGGGGUCAGGGCUAAUACACUAAAAACGACCGUCCGGGUCGUUACUUUCUCCUUCUCUUAAAAUAAUCGUUCAUCCUCGAACGAGCAUAGAGACAUACCUGAAGUGGUGAAAAGAUGAGGAUAACAGCUACGAGUAUCAUGCCCGGUCUCCCAAGUCGACUCCUCGACAUGCUGGACCUUAACCUUCACAGAAGCAAUAUUCUUUGACCUCAACUUUCAAACCUGCCUAUCCAAGAUCGACACAAGCUCCUCAACAUAAGAUAAAUCCUUGUCCAACUAGACUGAGCUGAAAUCCAACACGUGAGAAGGAUCAUCGUGAUACUUUCGAAGCAUAGAAACAUGGAAUACUAGGUGAACUCCCGAUAGACUGGGAGGUAAAUCAAGCUCAUAAGCAACCUCCCCAACUCGCCGCAACACUUCAAAGGGACAAAUAAACCUUGGUCUCAGCUUGCCCUUUUUCCCGAACCUCAUAAAGCCCUUCACAAGUGAAACCCAGAGCAAGACCCGCUCCCUAACCAUGAAUGCAACAUUGCGAACCUUCCGAUCUGCGUAACUCUUUUGUCUGGGCUGGGUUGUGCGUAGUCUAUCAUGAAUCACCUUAACCUUCUCCAAAGCAUCCUGAACCAAGUUUGUACCCAAUAAUAUAGCCUCGCCCGGCUCGAACCAACCCAUCGGAGACCUACACCGCCUACCAUACAGAGCCUCAUAUGGUGCCAUCUGGAUGCUCGACUAGUAACAGUUAUUGCAAGCAAACUCCUCUAGAGGCAAGAACUAAUACCACAAACCCCCAAACUCUAUCACACACGCACGAAGCAUAUCCUCUAAUAUCUGAAUAGUGCGCUUGGACUGUCCGUCCAUCUGAGGGUGAAAUGUUGUGCUCAACUCCACUCGAGUCCCCAACUCAUGUUGUACGCCCCUCCAGAACCAUGAUGUAAACUGCGUACCCCGGUCAGAGAUGAUAGAUACCGGUAUGCUAUGGAGCCUGACGAUCUCGCGGAUAUACACUCGAGCCAUUUGCUCGGAAGAAUAAGUAGUCAUCACAUAAAUGAAAUGAGCUGACUUGGUCAGCCUAUCCACAAUCACCCAAACUGCAUCAAACUUCCAUUGAAUCCGUGGAAGCCCAACAACAAAAUCCAUAGUGAUCCGCUCCCAUUUCCACUCCGAAAUCUCUAACUUCUGAAGCAACUCACCUGCUUGUCGAUGCUCAUACUUCACCUGCUGGCAAUUUAGGCACCGAGCUACAUACUCCACCAUGUUCUUCUUUAUUCACUUCUACCAGUAAUGAUGUCUCAAGUCCUGUUACAUCUUCGCGGCACCCGGGUGAAUAGAAUACCGCAAACUGUGAGCCUCCUUGAGAAUCAAUUCACGCAAACCAUCUACAUUGGGAAUACAUAGCCUGCCCUACAUCCUCAAUGCACCAUCAAUCCCUAUAGUGACCUCCUUAGUAUCACCAUGUCAGACCGUGUCCUUAAGAACAAGCAGAUGGGGGUCAUCAUACUAAUGCUCCCUGAUACGAUCAUAAAGAGAAGACAGAGAGACCAUACAAGCUAAUACUCGACUCGGCUCAGAAAUAUCCAAUCUAAAAACUAGCUAGCUAAGUCCUGAAUAUCCAAUGCCAACAGCCUCUCUAUUGUUGGAAGAUAUGCUAAUCUCCCCAAACUCUCCGCUCGGCGACUCAAGGCAUCAGCCACCACAUUGGCCUUCCCGGGAUGGUACAAAAUGGUGAUAUCAUAGUCCUUAAUAAGCUUUAACCACCUCUGCUGACGCAAGUUAAGAUCCUUUUGUUUAAACAGAUGCUGCAAACUCCGAUGAUCAGUGUAAAUCUCACAAUGGACCCCGUACAAAUAGUGCCUCCAAAUCUUCAAGGCAUGAACAAUAGCUGCUAACUCAAGGUCAUGGGCAGGAUAGUUCUUCUUAUGAGGCUUCAACUGACGCAAAGCAUAAGCAAUCACUCUACCCUCCUACAUCAGAACACACCCAAUACCGAUCCACAAGGCAUCACAAUACACUAUGUAAGAACAAAAAGCUGAUGGUAGAACUAGAGCUGGAGUCGUGGUCAAAGUAGUCUUGAGCUUCUGAAAGCUCUCCUCACACUCCUCCGACCACCUGAAAGGAGCACCAUUUUGGGUCAAUUUAGUUAAGGGCGAUGCAAUAGAUGACAAGCCCUCCACAAAACGGAGGUAAUAACUAGCCAAACCAAGAAAACUCCAAAUUUCUGUGGCUGAGGACGGUCUGGGCCAACUCUAAACUGCCUCUAUCUUCUUCGGGUCUACCUGAAUACCCUCACUAGACACCACGUGUCCCAAGAAUUCAACUGAACUAAGCCAAAAGUCACACUUGGUGAACUUUGCAUAAAGUUUCUCCUCCCUCAACCGCUGUAACACAAUCCUCAGAUGCUAGCAUGCUCUUCCUAGCUACGAGAGUACACCAGAAUAUCAUCAAUGAAAAAAAUAACGAAUGAGUCAAGAUAAGGGUGAAACACACUGUUCAUCAGAUGCAUAAAUGUUGCUGGGGAAUUGGUCAGCCCAAAUGAUAUCACAAGGAACUCAUAAUGGCCAUAUCGGGUUCUAAAAGCUAUUUUAAGAAUAUCUGAGUCCCGAAUCUUCAGCUGGUGAUACCCUGACCUCAAAUCAAUCUUGGAGAACACUCUCGCUCCCCGAAGCUGGUCAGAUAAAUCAUCAAUAUGUGGCAAUGGAUACUUGUUCUUGAUUGACCUUGUUCAAUUGCCUGUAAUCAAUGCACAUUCUCAUAGUACCAUCCUUCUUCUUUACAAAUAAAAUUGGUGCACCCCAAGGUGACACGCUAGGCCGAAUAAACCCCUUAUCAAGGAGUUCCUGAAGUUGCUCCUUCAAUUCCUUCAACUCUGUCGGUGCCAUAUGAUACGGUGGAAUAGAAAUGGGUUGAGUGCCCGGCACCAAAUUAAUACUGAAAUCAAUAUUCCUGUGGGGCGGCAUGCCCGGUAGGUCUGCAGGAAAUACAUCCGAAAAAUCUCGCCGGAAAAAAAUCAAUAGCAGGGGUCUCUGCACUAACAUCCCUCACAAAGGCCAGAUAAGAUAGGCAACCCUUCUCAACCAUUCGUUGAGCCUUCAAGUAUAAAAUCACUCUACUAGGAACAUAGUCUAUAGAGCCGCUCCAUUCAACCCUCGGCAACACUAGUAUCGCCAAUGUCACGGUCUUAGCGUGACAAUCUAGAACAGUGUGACCUGGAGACAACCAAUCCAUACCCAAAAUCGCGUCUAAAUCGAUCAUACUAAGCAAUAAGAGAUCCACUCUAGUAUCCAAACUCCCUAUAGUCACCAUACAUAACCGAUAUAUACGGUCCACAAUGACAAUAUCGCCCACCGGCAUAGUCACAUGAAUAGGUAAAACUAGAGACUCAUGGGGCAUAUCUAGAAAAUGAGUGAAAUACGAGGGCACAUAUGAACAAGUGGAACUAGGGUCAAAUAAUACAGAGGCAUCUCUAUGGAAAAUUGACACAAUACCUGUAAUCACAGCAUCUGAAGCAAUGGCAUCUGGUCUGACAGGAAGAGCAUAGAAAUGGGCCUGGCUGCUCCCUGAUAGGGCAACCCCUAGCUGACUGAACCCCACCUCUAGCUGGGUGGGUAGGUGGUGAAGCUGCUGGUGUUGGUUCCAUCGGCCGAGAACUCUGCUGUGAAAUCCCACCCAACAACCUAGGGCAAUAUCUCUUAAUAUGACCAAAAUCUCCGCACUCGAAACAGCCCCUCCUCUGACAAAACUGCUGCUCCUGAUGCCCCAAAGAACUACCCGUAGAAACCUGAUCUGACUAGGUAGGGUGAGAACUCUGCGCUGGUAGUGCAGUGAAUGAAGAUUGGCCCUGCUGAUAGUUGUGUGAACCAUGGCCAGAUGAUGCACCACGGUGAACUAGGCGAGCUGUCUGAACAUGUCUUAAAAGACGACACCUACCGUGGUGGAACUGCCCCCAGAAGGAACACCAUUGAAUCCACCUUGGCCACGAGGCCUCUUGUCCUCCCUCUCAACCCGCUCUUGGCUGCGAACCAUCUCAAUCGGACGAGCAAUGUCGACAAACUCGUCGAAAGCAGCACCGGACACUCUCUCUCUAGUCAUAAGCAAUCACAGCUGAAAAGUGAGGCCAUCUAUGAACCUCCUGAUCCUCUCCCUGUCUGUGGGAACCAACCAGAUAGCAUGACGGGCCAACUCUGAAAAUCUCAUCUCAUACUGCGUCACAGACAUAUCACCCUGACGAAGUUGCUCGAACUGCCUGCGCAGCUCCUCUCUACGGGACUGAGGCACGAACUUCUCCAGGAAUAGACCGGAGAACUGCUGUCAGGUAAGGGGUGCUGCGCCAACCGGCCUAUGCCUAUCAUAAGCCUCCCACCAACCGAAGGUAGCCCCAGAGGACUGAAAAGUAGUGAACGAGACCCCACUGGUCUCUAGCAUACCUGUUGUAUGGAGUAUCCUCUGACACCUAUCCAAAAAGCCCUGUGCAUCCUCUACCUCGGUACCAUUGAAAGAUGGAGGCUGGAGUCUCCCAAAACUCUCCAAUCUACGCUGCUCAUCAUCAGGCAUGACAGGGACUACAUAGUCUUGAGCAUCUACAACCAGUUGGGCUGGUGGUACCCUCGGUGUCUGGAGUCCCUGUACCAACUGCUCUAGUGUGCGGGCAGCGGGAGUCUCAGCACCUCCCCCGGCCUGAGAAGUGGUUGCUAUUUCCGAAACAGAGACCGCUUGAGCAAGACUGGUACACGCGGUCAGGAUCUGAGCUAAGGCCCCCUGAAGGCCUGGAAUCACAAUAAGCACAAGUGGUGCCUGAGCUGGCCCCACAGGCCCGUCCACAAUUGGAGCCUGCUCCUGAACUGGGGUAACUGGUGGAUUUGCAGGUGCUGCCCUAGCUGCGGUGCGAGCUGCACCUCUGUCCCUACCGCGGCCGCUAUCGCGACCUUCGCAUCUUGUGGCCCUGACUGGUGGUACUGGUGACUGUCCAUCCUGCCCCGUAGUACGCGUCCUCACCAUCUGUGAGAGAAUUAUAAUAACGAAAAUUUAUUACCAGAAUCAAAAGAUUCGCACGACAAGAAUUCAAGAAUGUGAAGUUUACUAAGAGUUCGGUAGCCUCUCGAAGAUAAGUACAGACGUCUCCGUACCGAUCCGUAAGACUCUACUAAACCUGCUCAUGACUCGUGAGACCUAUGUAACCUAGGCUCUGAUACCAACUUGUCAUGACCCAAAACCUAACCCGUCGUGAUGGCGCCUAUCGUGAUACUAGGCAAGCUGACAUCUCCAAAACACUUUCAACAUUUAACAGAAAUGAAUUAAUAUAUUUAAAAUAACCGGAGUCUUUCAUAAAAACGGGGUAAAACUCAAAGCAUAAGUGCAGAAAAAUAGCCCAACAUCGGGGUGCCACUGAGUACAUGAGCAUCUAUACCAGGAGAAGUCUAAUACAACAUCUAAGUAAUAUGAACUGAAAUGAGAAUAAGGUAAUUAAGGAGAGCCAAGGCCUGCGAACGCUAUGCAGCUACCUCGAUAGUCUCCGGAAUCAGCUACUCAAAUAUCAACACCUACUACGACCAGGAACACCUGGAUCUGCACACGAAGUGCAGGGUGUAGCGUCAGUAAGUAACAAAAAUAAAUAAGGAACUGAGAAGGUAGUGAAUAGCUAUACAAUUACAGUUCAUUUUCAAUAAUUCCAGCAAAGAAUAGACAUGCUUUCACAUCCGGCAGUUAAAGUCCAAUCAGUUUUAUACAGUUAAAGUUCAAGUAAUCCAGAUAUAGAAUCUUUCAGGAAUUUCACAACAAUGACAGAUAGCAACUAAGUGCAUCAACAAAUAAAAAAAAAGCAAGUACAACCUCUUAGGGAAACAGUCACUCAACUCGUCACAACAACUCAAAUCACUCGGCUCUCAGCCCUCAGUACUCACACUCAAUAGGUACAUGUGCUCACUGGGGGUGUGCAGACUCCGAAGGGGCUCCUUUCAGCCUAAGCGUUAUAUCCGCACGAACAACUCAUAUGCUACACAGAUAACACACGUGCUAUAGUAUCAAUAUAUGGAUCCGCACGUACAACUCACGUGCCAUAGUAUCAAUAACUCACAGACAGGCCCACGACCUCAUUCAGUCAUCAACCUNNNNNNNNNNNNNNNNNNNNNNNNNNNNNNNNNNNNNNNNNNNNNNNNNNNNNNNNNNNNNNNNNNNNNNNNNNNNNNNNNNNNNNNNNNNNNNNNNNNNNNNNNNNNNNNNNNNNNNNNNNNNNNNNNNNNNNNNNNNNNNNNNNNNNNNNNNNNNNNNNNNNNNNNNNNNNNNNNNNNNNNNNNNNNNNNNNNNNNNNNNNNNNNNNNNNNNNNNNNNNNNNNNNNNNNNNNNNNNNNNNNNNNNNNNNNNNNNNNNNNNNNNNNNNNNNNNNNNNNNNNNNNNNNNNNNNNNNNNNNNNNNNNNNNNNNNNNNNNNNNNNNNNNNNNNNNNNNNNNNNNNNNNNNNNNNNNNNNNNNNNNNNNNNNNNNNNNNNNNNNNNNNNNNNNNNNNNNNNNNNNNNNNNNNNNNNNNNNNNNNNNNNNNNNNNNNNNNNNNNNNNNNNNNNNNNNNNNNNNNNNNNNNNNNNNNNNNNNNNNNNNNNNNNNNNNNNNNNNNNNNNNNNNNNNNNNNNNNNNNNNNNNNNNNNNNNNNNNNNNNNNNNNNNNNNNNNNNNNNNNNNNNNNNNNNNNNNNNNNNNNNNNNNNNNNNNNNNNNNNNNNNNNNNNNNNNNNNNNAUACGCAAGUAAAACCAUGACUGAGUAAAAGACAACAAUUAGCAAGUAAUUCAACAAGUACUCACAUAGCCUAAGCAUGAUUUCUAAUUUGAUUUGCAGUCAAAUUUCAUAACACAGGGANAGCAUAUAGCUAGCAACAAGUUAUUCAACUUUACAGUUUCACGGAAUGGAUCAAGUCCCAAUUCCUACGGUGCACGUCUACACGCCCGUCACCUAGCAUGUGCGUCACCUCCAAAAUACUCACAUAAUCCAAUAAUCCGGGGUUUCAUACCCUCAGGACCAUAUUUAAAACUGUUACUUACCUCAAACCGCCCAAAAUCCUACUCCGCAAUGUCUUUGCCCCUCGAAUCAAUCUCCAAACGCCCCGAAUCUAGCCACAAGCAGUACGAUAUUAUUAAUAUAGGCUAAAAGAAUCAAUUCCACAAGGAAAAUACGAAAUUGUGAGCCAAAAUCUGAAAUAGGCUCAACCCGGCCCCCGGGCCCAUGCCUCGAAAUCCAACAAAAGUUACAAAACCCGAAAGCCCAUUCACUCAUGAGUCUAACCAUACCAAAUUUAUCACAAUAAGACACCAUUUGGUCAUCCAAAUCCCCAAAAUCCACUCUCCAAUUCUCAAGCCCUAAACCCUCAAAUUUCACUUCAAAAGCUCACUAAUUAGGCGGGGAAAGCAGUGGGGAAACAAGUUUUGUGAUCCAAAACGAGUACAAGAAGCUUACCUCCAUAAUCACCCCGAAAAUCUUCUCCAAAAUCGCCAAAGUCCGAGUCCAAAAUGUUGAAAUAAGACUAAAAUCGUGAACCCUUACUUUUAAACCUUCUGCCCAGACUUUUCACACCUACGGGGGCGCUUCUGUGAAAACAUUCCCUCUCCUGCGAAAGUCACUUAUCCGCUGCCUCCGCUUCUAUGAUCAAAGAACUGUAUAUGUGCCUAUCGCAUAUGCGGGAAACCCAUCGAACCUGCGGAUCAAUCUCGCUCCUGCGCCUACCUGCCCGCUUUUGCGGCCAUCGCAUGUGCGAGAAAAUCUUUGCACCUACGACCUCUGCUUAACUCAUCUUUGGCCGCUUCUACGGUUCCUUCCCCGCUUUUGCGGGCUUGCACCUGCGGUGCCCACUCCGCAGGUGCAAUCACACCAGUAGCAGCAGUACUUUAGCUGCUUCAUCAACUUAAAAUCAAGUUCGUUAACCACUCGAAAUCAACCCGAGGCCCCCGGGACCUUAACCAAACAUACCAACUAGUCAUAUAACCCAAUGCGAACUUAGUCAAACCUUCAAAUCACCCAAAACAACAUCAAAACAAAGAUUACACCCAGAUUCAAGCCUAAAGAACUUCUAAACUUCCAAAUUCCACAAACGGUGCCGAAACCUAUCAAACCACAUCUGAUUGACCUCAAAUUUUGCACAUAAGUCAUAAAUGACGUCACGAACCUACUCCAAUUCCCGAAAAUCAAAUCCAACCCCGAUAUCAAAAUUUCCACUGUCGGCCAAAUACACCAAAAUUCUAACUUUCGCCAAUUCAAACCUAAUUCUACUAUGGACCUCCAAAUCACAUUCCGGAUAUGCUCCUAAGUCCAAAAUCACCCAACGAAGCUAACAGAGCUAACGGAACUGACGGAACUCCAUUUCGGAGUCGUCUUUACAUAGUUUUGACUACGGUCAAAAUCCUAAGACUUAAGCUUUCGUUUUAGGGACUAAGUGUUCCAAAAUACCUUGAAACUAAAAACAAAACUUUUCGGAAAGUCACAUAAGCAGAAACAGACACGGGGAAAGUAGAAAAUAGGGGGUCGGGGUUAAUACACUCAAAAUGAUCGGCUGGGUCGUUACACAUAGAUAGAAAAAAAUUGACGUAUACGUAACUUUUGAAUUCUGCGGCCACACUUGAAUUUGUGCGAUCUGCAGAUGUGAAAUUUUGGGCAACUUAGUGAAGAACUCAUUCUGCGGCCGCAAGAUAAAAUGUGCGGACCGUAGAAUUCCAAUCGCGAUUGCAAAAUAGCAUGUUUAAUGUCAUCGGAGAAUCUAUACUUUUUUACCACAAUGUGCGGCCGCAUGUAUAAUUUUGCAUAGCACAGAAAUCAUGUUGCGGUCGCACAUCAGCCAUUUCUAUGUCAUCUAGGGUUGGCAUCUUUUGGGUUUCAAAGGUACGGCUGCAAGUGAAAUUGUGCAGAUCGCACUUCACUUUUGCAGCUGCACAACAAAAUUAUAGGGUCCACAAGUCCUCAUCUAUGGCCACGAUAAAAAUUGUGUGAUCCGCAAGUCCUGAUCUGCAGCCGCGAGAAAAUUUAUGCGGAUCGCAGAUCAUUUCCCUACAAGUAUGUUCUAAUUGUUUACCCUCAUUAUGUCUUCUGGUUUACAGUUUACUUACAUAUCUCAUGUGUAUGUCUGAACAUUGAAUUGCAACUAAUAAUCACUUUUCCUUGAUACAGACAAUGAUUCGAUCUAGAGGACGCGGCGACACAUCUAAAGGAAGAACCAGACCUUGCUGCUGAAGUAGUGCGCCAGAUUUUCGCCAACCCAGCCAUACCUAUAGUUGAGUAUAAUGAGAUUCAGUUGGAUGAUCCUGAGGGCGAUGACAUUGUUGGGGACACAGAGAUAUCCAAGGAUCCAUAGGGAGUUUUGUUCACUCUUCCCUCUUUUACUCUUAUUUUGCUAAGCAUUGGGGACAAUGCUUACUUUUAUUCGGGGUGGGGGGUGGGGGUGGAGUUUAUUUGAUACAUUUGGCACUUUGAUACAUUUGGCCUAUAAUAAUUUAAUGAUAUUCUCUUUUUUCUUAUUUGUAUGUAUAUAUCUUCUCUCUCUCUCUCUCUCUCUCUCUCUCUCUCUCUUACUAUGUAGAUUUAUUUUNNNNNNNNNNNNNNNNNNNNNNNNNNNNNNNNNNNNNNNNNNNNNNNNNNNNNNNNNNNNNNNNNNNNNNNNNNNNNNNNNNNNNNNNNNNNNNNNNNNNNNNNNNNNNNNNAUUUAUUUUAUCCUUAGUAGUUUUGUUCAUUAACUUCUUUAUAUUUGUUUUUGCUUAUUAGCUUCUUUUUAUAUUUUAGUUGUGUAUUAGCUUUUUUUUUCCUUAGUAGCUUCUUUUUAUGUUUUAAUAGAUAAUAAGUCUUUGGUUUUCUUAAUGCCACGAUUCCUUCCAAAGGUAGUUUUAGUGUGAACUAGGUGACUCGUCCCAACGAUGGAUGGCAUGACAACCUUCUUAAGGGAAUGAGUCCGUUUUUGUGUUUAGUUAAUAAUAGUAGUAGUAAUGAAUAAAAAGACCUAAUUAAUUCAUGCUUGAAGAGUCAACCAUGCUUCAAUUGGUACCAACACACUUAACUACGUGAUUAUGGUUAGAAACAAGGUUUUGAAAGAAAUAGCUCUAGUUAGUGACUCUGUGACUCUUGUGUUGACUUUGGCAAUCAUCUAGUGGUUUAAUUGGACCAUAGUGAUCUAUAAACUUGAAUGUGGUCGUUGUGGGUCCUCGACUCUAUCAUCUUUUACAAUCCGGUUGUGUGAGGGGUGAGAUGAAUUGUUGCUAGUCCAAGUAUCUGUGCGAAGGGUCUAGAACUUGCCCCGAAUGUGUUUAAAGGCGAAAUCUUAACUUUUUCUUGGUUUGAGAAGUGAUUGUAGGCUCUCGUUGGACCGUAUGAGUUUUCUAUUGCCAACCAAUGUCAUUAUCCCUAGUCAACCCCUUUUAGCCUCUAGCCUUUCUCAUUUGAUAACCAUGUUACAAGCUUUUACCCAUUUUGUCAUGACCCUCUCUUGGCACCCGAGAUUUCCUUUACACUCUUGUGAAAGAAAUGGCUUAAAACAUAAGUUUUGGGGAGAUAUGAGGAACUUGAAAAAGGUAUCAAGGCACAAAAAAAGAGAAAACAAAUGAUCUCUAUGAAAAGAGAAGGCAAGAAAAGAAAAGAACAAAAAGAAAAAUACAAAAAGUGAAUAAGUGGAAGGGGGUUGAAUGGAUUCAAAAAAAGGUAAUGAUCCCAAACACGGAGAAAUAAAAAAUGGAGAAAAAGAAUGAAAUGAUCAAUAAAGAGUUAUGCUAAGUCUCUCUAGUCCCCAAUAAAAAGAAAGUGUCUCUGAGAAUUGGCAAAGUGUGAGCCGAGAAACGAAAGAUAGAGUGCUUAAGGAAAGGUGUAACCACUUACCCAUAUGGCAUCCUACCCUAACCCAAAAGCCUUCAUUACAUUUCGGAAGAAGUCCUACUUGAUUUCAAACCGAGUGAGCUUACAUUAGUGGCGAUCUAUAUGAAGAGCAAGCCUAUGGUACUUGAAGUCGUACUUGUGACAUUAUCUUGAGAGAGAUGAGUGAAUCUUUCAUAAAUCUUUGGAUUGAGUGCUAAAUUUCUUAAGUAAGCUAGGCAAAUAGAAAGUAGAGGAGGAAGAGUUUGGAGUCCACCAUGACCUAUAUGAUAGAGCAAGAGUCCUUGAUGAGUAAAGUCAAUGCUUGAAGCUCAAAUGUCACAUUAGAACUAUAUGUGCAUGAAUGUUUAACUUGUCGCCUUGUUGAUAAUACAUGAGUAGUGUGGGUAAUUAUUGGUCCCAACCGAUGUGUGGAUGACUUACCUUUUGACUCGCUGAAAUGAACCUUAACUUUUGGAGAUGGGAACUAAUUUAUUUGUUUGAAGACAUGCAAAGACUUAAGUUUGGGAGAGUUGAUAAGUGGGAAUUUUGACUGCUUAUUAGCACCUUUUAGCUUUUGUUUUAAUCCGAAAGUAAUGAAUUGUGUUCACGAAACUAAUGAAAUUGUGCAAAAUGUAGGAAUGCUGGAACUUUGGUCUAUCAAGAUGAAAUCCGACUAAAAAAAAGUGUUCUGAAGCACAAGGAAGUAAAGGACGCAUAAGCACAAAUGUGCGGUCCGCAAAAGGAAUUUUGCGGCCGCAGAAGAAAUUGCGGACCGCGGAAUUUCAUCUAAGGCCACAAACCAAGAAGAAAAUAUCAACAGAACUUUCGGCGAUGUGCGGACCGCACAUGAAUUGUGCGGCCGCAGAACCAGGAUUUUACUAACAAAGAUGAAAAGUUCAGAGAAUAUACAAGAAGACCAAGUCCUGAAGCCUUUGUGAAGUGCGGACCGCACAUGAGUUAUGCAGUCGCAGAAGUUUGCCUCGCGGCCGUAGUCCAGAAAUGUGCGGCCGCAAAAACCUCUUUCCUGCCAACUGAAGAAAUAUGUGUAGCGCACAUGGAAUUGAGCGGCCGCAGAACCUCCCAAGGGGCAUUUUUGUCCGCGAUUUUUGGCCCUGUAUAAAUAGACGAGUUUCAUAAAAUUAGGCCAAGUUUGAACAUACAACGCGGUUGUAGCCAUUUAUUUUAGCUAUUUUAGGAAUUUUUAGUUUAUUUGAGUAUUUUAACAUUAGAUUUCACCAUUUUAAUCUUCCAUUAUGAGUUUAAUUAGCUUUUAUUCUUUAUUUUCUGCAAAUUUCAUUAUGAGUAGCUAAUUUUUUAUUAGGGUUGUGACCCAACCCUAGUGUGUAAACCUUAUGUGUAAUUAAUUUAUUGCUUGUUUAUGAUUGGGUGUUGAUUAUUUAGCUUAUUUCAUGAAUCAAUUUUAGAAUUAAUGGUUGGAAAUAUUGAUUCAUGCCUAUUUGACUUAGAAUCUACUUGAGAAAGAAAGACAUAGUCUAGGAUAACUUAGCUAACAAGGAAUUAGGUUAAUUGAGAGGUUGAUUAACCUAAUUAAAGGUUCAUACUAGAGAUAGUAAGAACCCGACUUGAGCUCUUAUCAACUAUUUUGGUUGAUACCCAUUUGGACUUGAGAAAGCCAAAUUGGGCAAAAUCACUCUCUGACCGAGAGGUAUUGAGUGGGUAACGUAGAGUUGAGAGCUACAAUACACCCCAAUCAACAAAAAUUAAAAAUUAACGUCUUUAUCCCAUUAGGCAAACACCUAGGUUAUGGUCACAGCCCUAGGCCUUUAAACUAUUUGGAAAAACACCAAAAACACUGAUCGGUUUCUAGUUUCUUUCCUUACGUUAUAAUUGCUAGAGUAAAAUUAGAAUUAGAAAUCAAAACCUGUUGUGGAAGUGCAAUCUAGAUAUUCCUUUCGCUUUUGUCAAGUGUAUACUCCUAAAACCCCUAGUAACUCCAUGUGGAAAUCAACCCCGACUCUUGUUGGAUACUAUUCUUCCAACGACCGUUUCCGCUCACUAUUGAGUGCGGAUUGGACGUGGAUCAGGCACACACCUCAUAAGCUAAAUCCAAUAAGCACAACGCGAAUAUGACUGAAUACGGAAAGAGAAACACAUGAGAGAACUAUCAAACAAGCUCGGCAAGCACAACUCCCUAUCAGUACCAUACUACGAAUCAAUUCUACAAUGAAGGAUCAAAACAUAUGAACUAAUCAUAAGGAUCUCAUCCUAAUAUAACUCUACUGCGGCAUGCAGCCUGGUUCAAACAUAUUAAACUGCAUGAAAACAUAAGGAUCCCAUCCUCGGCUCUAAAUCACAAGUAGAAUACAUAUCAUACCAACUGAAACCUUCCAUUAACUCAAUUCUACAAAAAAAAUCACAACAUGUAACAGACUUCCCAUACCGGUAGAGCAUCUAAAUCACGAAUCGUAGCCAAACCAUCUAGAAAUCAUAUCAAAACUUAUCGUAAUGAGUAACAGAAAGUCACUUCUAGUCUCAUAGCUCUCAAUAGUGAACAAAACAAAAUGAUAGACACGGGCUACCACUAUAGAAUCUCCCAACAUGGGAAAACACAUAAGCAAAGUACAAGAAUCACGAACCUCACCCAUAUAUGAAGCAAGAUAGGAGGACUCACUUCGAUAAGCAAAAUUGAAUCAAAAUAAGAAUGAUGUUCCUCUAUAUAAAAUCGAAAACAUACAUAUAACGACACCAUCUGGUGCAGUGGUACCGGCUCUACCAUAGAAAGCAUAUUAACGGGUUGGGGCUCCCCCUCUAGGGCGCCCUCUACCCUUUUGUCCUCCACCGCUAGCUAGCUGUGCAGGUGGAGUAGCAACUGGAAUGGAGCCCAUAGCCUGAGUGCUCUGAUGAAAUCCACCUCUCCCGAGUCCGAGAUAAUCUCUCAUGAUGUGCCUAGUAUCGCCACACACAUAACAACCCCUCUACGGGCGUGGCUGCCCAUACUGAGUAUGUGCCGAAUAACCGGAAUAACCGCUGUAGAAAUCCCGUGCAGGUGGUGCACUAAAAGAUGACUUCCCUAUAUGAGUACCAUGACUAACUAAAGCACCACGAGUAGUUUGAAGUGCGGACUGGACUGGACGACUGCCCGAGCCUCCGCCAUGAUGGGUCAUAGGUAAAGAGUAUAAUCCACUGGAUCCUCCAAAACCUCGAGACCACUUGGCCUCCUUAUCCUCCCACUUUUCACCCUGAAUAUGCCCUAAUCUCCUAGCAAUCUCCACAAGCUGCUGAAAUAGAGUAUUAGUCUCCAACUCCCGAGCCAUGCUGAAUCUAAGACCAUAACUGAGCCCCUUAAUAAAUCCGCGGACUCGCUCUCUGAUUGUAGAGACCAAAGUAGGUGCAUGACGGGAUAACUCACUGAACCUGAUGGCAUACUCUGACAUCAUCAUAGUGCCCUAACAUAACUGCUCGAACUAUGUAUGCCACGCAUCCCGGAGGGUCUGGGGAACAAACUCUACAAAAAACAUAUCCAAAAAUUGAGUCCAAGUGGGUGGUGCUGCAUCGGCUGGUCUACACUCCUCAUAAACCUGCCACCACUGAUACGAUGCUCCUGACAUAUGAAAUAUAGUACAAGCAAUUCCUCUCACCUCCACAAUACCCAUGGUGCGGAGAAUAUGGUGACAUUUCUUUAGAAAGGCUUGUACAUCCUCGGUAGUUGUUCCAUUGAAAGUAGGUGGACUAUACCUAUUAAACCUCUCAAGACUCUUCUAUUCCUCCUCUGAUGCCCCUAUCCUGACUUCCGGCUGAAUCGGAAUAACAGGUUGUACCGGCACCAUACCCGGAGUAUGACCAACAUGAACCUACUGCUAUGGUAUACGGGCAGUGGGAGUUUGAGCUCCUCCCCUAAUCUGUGAGGUAGUUAGUGCAACGGAGAUCACUGUCGCCUUAGCUAAUGUACCAAACAAGUUUAGGAACUGUGCUACAGUCUCCUUAAGUAUGAGGUUAACAAUAAGCGCCUUUGGUGCCUGUCCCCUAACCGGGGCUACUGGCGGCUCGUCAACUACUGCUAUGGCAGGUGCUCUAGCUGUAGAACAUGCCCUUCCUCGGCCACUACCUCGGCCUUGGCCUCUCGCGGCUCUAGCAGGGGGCGCAGGUGUCUGCUUAGCUGAUCUGGUAGCGCGUGUCCCCCCAUCUGUGAUAGAAUAGAGAUACAAUCAAUCAAAUUUUGAAAUUAACUAAUUUGUACGACAAGAAUGAAAGAAGUGGAAUUUUCCAAAUAGUUUUGUAGCCUCUCGAAGAUAAAUAUAAACGUCUUUGUACCGAUCCGCAAGACUCUACUAAACUCGCUCGUGACUCGUAGAACCUAUGAACCUUGCUCUGAUACCAACGUGUCAUGACCCAAAAUCCCACCACAUGUGUUGUGAUGGCACCUAGUCUCUAAGACUAGGUAAGCCGAUUACUUACAAAGAUUGAGCCAGUUUUAACAAUGAUAAUUUAAAAUGGAGUUUAAUUUGAAUACCGAAACAAAAGUGAAAUAAUCCUAUGCGGCAAUAAUCAUAACAACCUCCCAAAACUAGUAAUACAUAGUCACGAACUCUAGAUAAAUACAUGGAAAGAUCACAAAGAUUGAAAUACUAUACUGUUCAAAUAAUAAGCUGACAUUGCAAUGAAAGGAAAGGACUCCAAGGGACUGCAUCGACCAAGCAGCUCUACCUUGAAUCCUCGCGAUAAAUAAGCUAACCCUGAUCGAUUCCGGUAUAUCCAAUACCUGACUCUACAUAAAAAUGUGCGAAAGUAUAGUAUGAGUACACCACAAUCGGUACCCAGUAAGUAUUAAGACUAACCUCGGUGGAGUAGUGACGAGGUACAAGUCAAGGCACCUACUAGUCAAAAUAAUAUGUGUCGUAUAGAAAUAUAAAGCUAAUAAUGGAAAACAAGAAUCAGUAAAUGGAAAAAUGAAUCAACAUGUGAUAUAAAUGGCAAAUUAAUAAGAACACCGUGAAAGUACCAUUGGAACCAAAUAAGGAACCCAAAUAACAACCAAUUAAUCAAGUCGUUCUAACACAAAUUUCGCAAUGAAAUUACUACGAAAUACCUCAUCUCAUAGUCACAAGUCACAAGUCUCAACCUACAAUCAUAUGCUCACAGCACCUUGUGCCCAUAUUUCUAAUCACAAUGCACGGACAACUCACGUACCAAUAUCUAGAUUUGCCUGGCAUGAUCACAGGCUCAUAAUCACAAUCUGCCUGGCAUGGUCACAGGCUCACUAUUACAAUCCGCCCGGCAUGGUCAGAGGCUCAUAAUCACAAUCCGCUCGGCAUGGUCACAGUCUUAUAAUAACAAUCCGUCUGGCAUGGUCACAGGCUCACAAUCACAAUCCGCCCGGCAUGGUCAUAAGCUCAAUACCAACGAGAAAAUAGAUAAUACAAAAACACAUAGGCAUGAUCAAUAAAUGUCAAGUUUCAUACUCCUGAGCUAGUAUAAGUGACAUGCUAUGGUGUAUGCUUGUACGAGUGUACUAUUGUACCCCAAGUCAACAAGUAAUAUCAAAGGCAUCGAGUAGCUCAUCGAAGCAACACAACAAAUCACGUAAGGUAUAUGACAUACACAAGGAAAAGCACAUAAUCACACAAAAAUAACCAACACAAUGUCCCCAAUCCAUCACACAUCAUCCCUGACAUUGCCACACUUAUCUCUCCGAUAGCCACCUGUAUCACUCCGACCCUGACAAUAUCAUUAGCCACCCUUAUCUCUCUGAUAGCCACCUGUAUCACUCCGUAUAAUAGCCACCCUUAUCGUUCCUCCCGGACAAUAACACAAUAGCCACCCUUAUCACUCCGUACAUUCAACAACAGUGAGAUGCCACUCUUAUGCCCCGCAUACACUAACGGUAAAAUGCCACCCUUAUACUCUGCAUAACAACAACCAUACCACACAACAAUUUACAUGUGCUAACAUCACAGCAACACGACUUAUCAACUCAUAUCACAAGUGUCCAUAGUCCACAACCUUUCUAAAGAUCCAACAAUAUCAAUAUUUCCACAACAAAUAGCCCACGACUCAACACAAUGUGUAAAGAAUAUGAAUAACAACAAAAUGAAUGAAAAAGUAACUCAACAAGGAACAACACCUCCUUUAAACACAACUUUAAUUAAAAUAGAUUGAUGACUUUCGAUAACCUCAUUUCCAAUUAAUUGUUUAAGGAUAUACUCAAUAGUGAAAGUAUUUCUAUGAAAUGGCAAACUUCGGAUUCUAGUGUAUGAAUAGGCUAAUAAUAAAAGAGAUGGCACGAAGUAGUGCUACAUCUAAAUGCAUAAGAAUAACCCAGCAAUAAAAGGAUAUCAUGUAACAACAAUUUUAACUAAGAGUAACUCCAUCAUAAAAGAAAUCACAUAAUGAUAAAAGUGAUACCAACUUCAAAUAAAGCAUAUAAGAGAAAACUUGUGAUAGUAGACAACUCGUGAUAAAGCAUAUAAGAAUGUGACAUGUAACGACAACUUCAAAUAAAGCAUGUGAUAGUAGACAUGGCGAAUAAAAGAUAUAACAUGUGCUAAAAAUUCCAAAUAAAUACAUAAAAGAAGCCUAAGAGUCUAAACUGGUCAAUUCCUACAAAUAAGCCCGAGUACGCACUCGUCACCUCACGUACACAGCUUUCACAUAACACAAAUAACAGAAUUGACUCAAAUCCUAAGGGGUGGUCCCCCCCCCCCUCCCCCCACACACACAAAUUUAGGCAAGAUACUUACCUCAAAUAGGUAAGAAGUUAAACCGAUACUCUAAAAUAACCUUCUCAUAUGAAAAAACCUCCGAACGGCAAAAAUCUAACCAAAAUAACUUAAUAUAAUAAAUGAAAAUCAUAGGUAACAAAUUCCGAAAAUUAAAGCUUCGACCUUUAAUAAAAACUAAUAAGUCAACCCAAAAAGUCAACCGCACCUUAGGACCCGAUAAAACUCACAAAAUCUGAGCACCCAUUCCGAUACGAGUCCAGCCAUACCAAAAUUAUCCAAUUCCGACAUCAAAUUAGCCUUCAAAUCCUCAUUUUAUAUUUUUAAAAAUUCUUACAAAAAUUCUCAUUUUGUCCAAUUCAAAUCACUAAUUUAUUCUCAUCCACUACAGGCUUGGAAGCUAAUUUGGAGAAGUCUAGUUUGUUCAUGGCUGGAGUGGAUACUACCACGAGCACCCUCCUAUUAAGAUACACUAGGUUCUCACUUGAAGCUUUCCCAAUCAGAUAUAUUGGCUUACCUUUGUCUUACAAAAAGUGGAAUAAAGUGGAAUGCCAUCAACUAAGAGAGAAGAUUAUAGCUAAGAUAAAAAUUACUUUGAACAUACAUUUAUCAUUUGUUGGGAGGUUGCAGAUUAUCAAUGCAAUGUUAUUUGCUUUGCAUAACUUCUGGGGUGCAGUUUUUAUCUUACUUCGGAGUGUCUUGUCAGAGGUUAACAAGAAGUAUAGGAAUUUUAUGUGGGUUAGUUCAGAUGAUCAUAGGAAGAUGGCACUGGUGGCAUGGGACAAGGUCUGUAUGCCGAAGAAGUUUGGUGGCCUGAAUAUUAGAUAUUGCAAGAAAUGGAAUACUGCUUUGGUAAGUAGGAAGGUUUAUGGGUCAAAUGGGUGCAUGGUUUGUAUAUAAAGCCUGGAAUAAAUUUCUAAAUGCACACUACUCCAGCAAAUUGUAGUUGGUACUGGAAGAGAUUGCAUAAGCUGAAGAAUGAAAUGCAGGACUGGUAUUGUAAUGAUAGAUACCAAUUGACUUCUUCUGGUGUUUACUCUGCCUCAAGUAACUAUAUAGCUAUGUUGGAGGCCUUAAACAAAAUUAGUAUUUCCAAGCUAGUUUGGGGGGCUAUAUCCUUGCCUAGACAUAGUUGUAUUGUUUGGUUGGCUUUGCAGGGUAAGUUGCAGACUAAAGAUAGACUAUUGAAGAUGAACAUUCCAUGUGAGAAUAAGAAGUGCUAUUUGUGUGAAGAGGAUGUACUGAAAACUCAUCAACAUUUAUUUGGAGAGUGCAGAUGAUUUUCUACACUUAGGGAAGAGAUGCAAGCAUGUAUAGGGUAUGUCAUUCCACACAUGAGCAUAGAGAAAACAUUGACAUGUAUCACACGGAAGCAUUGGAAGAAGUAUACAAAGGAGAUAAUGGUAGUUGUGUAUGGGGCAAUGAUCUACCACACAUGGAAAACUAGAAAUUGGAAGGUAUUUAGAGGAACUAAUGUAAAUAUACACUUUGUCUAUACACAAAUACAACAGGAAGUUAGAGUGAGGAUAGAUAUGUUACAAUACUCAAGGAGAGCUUAUAGGUGUUCUAAGUUGAUUAACAAAUUGUGUAACAAGUUGGAUUGUUGGGGGCCUUUAUUCUCAUAAUACUCUUCGCGAUCGCGAUUCAAAAAAUUUCCGGCACAAACUUUACCCUUCGCGAUCGCGGCCAUUUCCCAGUGAUCACGAUGAACAAAUUCCCAUUACCCUUCCCAAGCUCUUUUCAGAUAGCCUGUAGUGUAACAACCAUACAUUUUUGUACAAAACUCUAAAUGACAAACGGUUUAAUGUUAUGAAAACUAGACAUAAAGGGCUAUCGCGAUUUACAGUGCCCAAACAACAAAAUUGUUCUUCGCGAACGUGACUCAAAGUCCGCGAUCGCGAUGCAUACCCCUGUGGCCAAAAAUCAGCAACUAAAAUGGCCUAGAAAUGGUCCAAAACCACCCCGAAACUCACCCGAGCCCCUCGGGACCCCGUCCGAACAUACCAACAAGUCCCAUAAUAUAAAUCGGACCUGCUCGAGGCCUCAAAUCACAUCAAACAACAUUAAAACUACGAAUCCCACCUCAAAUCGAACUAAAUGAACUUAUGAACUCUCAACUUCUAUGGCUCGCGCCGAAUCAUAUCAAACCAUCCCAGAAUGACGUCAAAUUUUGCAUGCAAGUCUCAAAUGACAUAACGGAGCUAUUCUAACUCUCAGAAUCGUAAUCAGAGCCCUAUAUCCACAAAGUCAACUCACGGUCAAACCUCUCAACCUUCCAACCCUUCUACUUUCCAAUUUUCUCCAAAAUAUAUCAAAUCAAUCUACGAACCUCCAAAUCCAAAACCCGGCAUAUGCCUAAACCCAAAAUACACCAUACGAAGCCAAUGGAGUUAUCAAAAUACCAUUCCGGAGUCGUCUACACAAAAGUCAAAUUUCGGUCAGCUCUUACCACUUAAACUUCUAAAACAAGAAUCAUCCUUCUAAAUUAACCCUGAAUCAUCCGAAAACCGAACUCGACCACACACGCAAGUCAUAAUAUAUUACACGAAACUACUCGAGGCCUUAAGCCACCGAACAAGCCGCUAAUUCGCAAAACGAUCGGUUGGGUCGUUACAGAGCCUAUUAUUUAUAAAUAACAAAUGGGCCCCAAAUUUGGGGGCUAAGGCACUAGCCUUACGUGUGAUGAGGUUAGAGCCGCCCUGGUUCUAAUUUAUACUAUAUUAAAUGCACAAAGACCAUUAGUGAAAUGUUGUUCGCUUUUUUAUCCUUUUAAAAUAGGAUUCACACCGGAUAAAAUAGUCAUUUAAUUAAUUUUCUAUUAUUUAGGAAUAGUCAUUUAAUUAAUUCUCUACUAUUUAGGAAUAAUCAUUUAAUUAAUUACCUACCAUUUAGGAAUAAUUAUUUAAUUAUUUUUUAAAUAUUUUUAACAUUAAUUAUUCCUUUUGAUUUUAGAAUUUCAAGCACAUACAAGCAAAGGACUCUACCGACCCAUACUGAUGAAUGAAAGAAGCUUAUCGCGAGAGCUUUUCGUUAAUUACACAGUAGGAAAGUUUAUGUUCAACUCCAAUUUCAAUUAGGAGAAUUAUUAAAUUUCUCCUUUUAGAUUUAGAAGGGUUUUUUCAUUUAAUAAAAUUUUGACUAGUUUAUGCACUACCUUCAAAACAGAUUUAGGAGUAUUUCAGUUGAAAAGUUUUUUUAGUUAAUAAAAUUUUGAAACACACUACGAAAGUUUUUGUCACGACCCAAAAUCCAUUAAAGGUCGUGAUGGCGCCGGACACUGCUGUCAGGUAAGCCAAAAAUGAAUACUUAUCUUGGUUCUCAUUUUAAUAUUUUUGAAAUAAUAUUUCCUUCAAUUAAAUGGUAAAAGAUGAAAUUUACAAAAUAAAUAAUAAUAUUUUUAACAAUUCCAAUACAAUGCAACCCAUAAUCGCCCCAAAACCAGGUGUCAUAAGAGCAUGAGCCUCAACUAAGAAUGUAAAAUUAAAUACAACAUAUGUCCGGAAUACAAAUUGGACAGGAGAAUAUAAAUACUCUGAGGGAGACUCUGCUAGUUGCGGACUCGUAACGUGGAAUACAGCUCACCUAAUUCCCCGCAAUAACAGCGCCUCUACGGCCACAAGGCCACUAGGCAUAUAUGCACCUGCACAAAAAUGUGCAGCAAGUAGAGUAUGAGUACGUAAAUCAACGCAUACCUAGUAAGUAUCCCGCCUAACCUCGAAGAAUUAGUGACGAGGGGUCGAAUUUGACACUUACUAUGGGAUAUAAAUAAAAUGUCAAUGAUAUAAUUAAGCAUGGAUUAUAUAAUACGGUUGCAAGCUCAAUAUUUUGAAGUCAGGAAGCAGUUCCUUUAUAAUUAAGAAAUCUCCAAAUUUAGUUCCCAUUAUUUAACAAUUUAUCUCAGGCCAAGGAGGCAAUAUCAUUUAUUGUAAAUUCCAAAGCAAUCAAUUAAAUCAUGCGCAAAUCAUGUCGAGGUCGUACGACCCGCUCCAACAUAAAUAUUUAAAUUGUGCACUGCCGAGGGUCGAACGACACGAACCAUAUAUGAAUCUUUAAUCUACUAAGGCGUUCGGCCCGCUCCACAAAAGAUAAACACAUUCAACAAUCAAGCAAGAAUUCUUUAAGGAGCAAUUAUCCAAGAAAUGUCAAUUCUCAUUUAACGGUCAAGAAAAAUAAAGUUUAACCUUUUAAAAAUUUAUUUACCAAGUUCAAUAUGUUUUAAGCAAUUUAAAUUAACAAUAAGGUUACAAAUAUCGCAAGUAUAGCAUGAUUUGGGACCUAAACUACCCGGACAUGAGCAUAAUAGUAGCUACGCAUGAACUCUCGUCACCUCGUGCGUACGUAGCCCCCACAAAUAGAAGCACGUAUCAAAUUAAUUCAACAAUGGGAUUAAUUCCCUCUUACAUGGUUAGAAAGGAGACUUAUUUCGCUCUGAUAUUCCAUAACUGGCUCCCAAGCCCUUCCAACAACUCAAAUCGAUUCCCAAUGCUCCAAAACUAGUCAAUAAAUGUGUAAACCCAUAAAUAUAUACUCUAAUGAUCAUAAUAAUUCAAUUUACAACAAUUUCUAACUCCUCUUGAAAAGUCGAUAAAAAUCACCCUCGGUCCCACGUGCCCGAAUUUCGAAACUUUUUGAAGAUAAACUUUACCCAUGACACCACGAACUCAAAUAUAUAAUUUAUUCCAAAUUUCAUGUCCAAUUUCGUGGUCAUAAUCCAAAAAUAUCCAUUUUUAGGUUUUCUACCAAAUAUCCCAAAUUUCUACAAAUUUUCAAGUCUAAAUCCAUAUAUAAUCAAGUAUAUAACUUGCAAUAGAAGGGAAUCACUUACCCUGACAUACCUAACGAAAAUCUCCCUUCCAAGAGCUCCAAAAAUCGCCCAACCAAAUGAAAAGUGGAGGAAAUGGCCAAAUCCCGUCUUUUAAAAAAAAACCUCACUGCCCAGGCGAUUUUCGCACCUGCGGUGCCUUGGCUGCAUCUGCGGUCCCGUACCUGCGGCAAAUGCCUCGCAGGUGCGCCAUUCCCUCACCUGGCCGGGCUUCGCAUCUGCGGACAAGGAGGGCCGCUUCUACGAGCCUAGCUGCACCUGCGAUCAUGUCUCUCGCACCUGCGCUCACGCAGGUGCGCCCAAUCUUCCGCAUCUGCGGAUUCUAGGCUGCCCUCCAUUUCUCACUUUUGCGGCUCGUGGCUUGCACCUGCGAGCCCGCACCUGCGGCCCUUUUCACGUAGGUGCAAGUGCACCAGGUACCAGCUGCGUCAGCAUUUUCCUUAGUCACAAAAUCGAUCCGUUAAGCGUAUGAAACUCACCUGAGGUCCCCGGGACCCCGUCCAAUCACACCAACCUGUCCAAUAACAUAACACGGACCUUCUCGAGGCCUCAAAUCACAUUAAACAACAUCUAAAUCAUGAAUCGUACCCCAAUUCAAUCUCAAUGAACUUUGAAACUUCAAACUUCUAUAAUUUAUGUCGAAACCUAUCAAAUCACGUCUGAUCGACCUCAAAUUUUGCACACAAGUCACAUUCAAUAUUACGGACCUAUUCCAACUUCCGGAAUCACGGUCAAACUUUUUAAAAUUAUCCAAAUUUUCAACUUUCGCCCAAAAUGACCUACGGACUUCCAAAUCCACUUCUAGACAUGCUCCUAAGACCAGAAUCAUCAUACGGAGCUAUUCCCAAACACGGAAUCCCAAACGGAUGUCGAUAACAUUGAAAUGCACUUCAACUCAAAUUUAUGAAAUUCUUCCAAAAUGCCAACCUUCCACAAUAGGCGCCGAAAGGCUCUCGGAUCAUCCAAAAUCCGAUCCGGACAUACGCCUAAGUCCAAAAUCAUCAUACAAACCUGUUGGAACCUUCAAAUCCCGAUUCCGAGGUUGUCUACUCAAAAAUCACACUUUAGUCAAUUUUUCCAACUUAAGGCUUCGAAAUUAGAAUUUUCUUUCAAAAUCAACUCCGAACAUCCCGAAUAUAAAUUCCGACCACGCAUACAAGUCAUAAUACCUUAAGUGAAGGUGCUUAGGGUCUCAAACCGUUGAAUGACGCGCUAGAGCUCAAAACGAUCGGUCGGGUCGUUACAUUCUCUCCCACUUAAUCAUUCGUUCGUCCUCGAACAUGCUAAGAACUGCUCUGGAGUUGUCCGAAAUCAUUGGUCAACACCUCGUGCACCUACCCGUGCUACCGCAACCUAGCUGAGCACAUUAGCUCGAUCCAAUCUGAAGACCUUCCUCUUUAUUUAGUCAAGUAAGUCUUAGAGUCAAAUUCCAACAUCCGGAAUUCUCCACCAGGCUUGUUUCCAAAUACGAACACCUUAUCAUUCACUACACACUGCACCAAAACACGAUAGUAUACCCUUACUAAAUUCUUACCAUACACCGCAUAAUUCACAUGACCAUAAUAACAUCCUCCGAUAACAAUAGCUGAAAUUUCACGAAUCUGAUGCCCACAAUACACUUCAUGACACGUAUAAGUCAUGUUCCGACUCGUGCAAUACUGCCACAACGGAGGAGAUGUGUAGAAAUUCAUAACCAACUACCGAGUCAACAAAUCAUUGGGUUUCUUCUCUUGACAAGAACCAUUACCUCAUUAUGAACUAAUAACGAUAUUUGCUCCACAAAAGAUAAACACAUUCAACAGUCAAUCAAGAAUUCUUUAAGGAGCAAUUAUCCAAGAAAUGUAAAUUCUCAUUUAACGGUCAAGAAAAAUGAAGUUUAACCUUUUAAAAAUUCAUUUACCAAGUUCAAUAUGUUUUAAGCAAUUAAAUUACUAAUAAGGCAGCAAAUAUCGCAAGUAUAGCAUGAUUUGGGUCCUAAACUACCCGUACAUGAGCAUAAUAGUAGCUACGCACGGACUCUCGUCACCUCGUGCGUAUGUAGCCCCCACAAAUAGAAUCACAUAUCAAAUUAAUUCACCUAUGGGGUUAAUUCCCUAUUACAAGGUUAGAAAGGAGACUUACCUCACUCCGAAAAUUCCAUAACUGGCUCCCAAGCCCUUUCAACAACUCAAACUGAUGCCCAAUGCUCCAAAACUAGUCAAUAAAUGUGUAAACUCAUACAUAAAUACUCUAAUGAUCAUAAUAAUUCAAUUUACAACAAUUCCUAACUCUGCUUGAAAAGUCGAUAAAAAUUACCCUCGGGCCCACGUGCCCGUUUUCCGAAAAUUUUCGAAGAUAAACUUUACCCAUGACACCACGAACUCAAAUAUAUAAUUUAUUCCAAAUUUCAUGUCCAAUUUCGUGGUCAUAAUCCAAAAAUAUCCAUUUCUAGGUUUUCUACCAAAAAUCCCAAAUUUCUACAAAUUUUCAAGUCUAAAUCCAUAUAUAAUCCAAGUAUUUAACUUGCAAUAGGUGAAAAUCACUUACCUUGACAUAGCUGACAAAAAUCUCCUUCCAAGAGCUCCAAAAAUCACCCAACCAAAUGAAAAGUGGAGGAAAAUGGCAAAAUCUCAUCUUUUAAAAGAAAUCUCACUGCCUAGGCGAUUUUCGCACCUGCGGUGCCUUGGCCGCAUCUGCGGUCCUGCACCUGCGGCAAAUGCCUCGCAGGUACACCUUUCCCUCACCUGGCCGGGCUCCGCAUCUGCGGACAAGGAGGGCCGCUUCUGCGAGCCUAGCCGCACCUGCGACCAUGUCUCUCGCACCUGCGUUCACGCAGGUGCGCCCAAUCUUCCGCAUUUGCGAAUUCUGGGUUGCCCUCCAUUUCUCGCUUCUGUGGCUCGUGGCUCGCACUUGCGAGCCCGCACAUGCGGCUCUUUUUAUGCAGGUACGAUUGUACCAGGUACCAGCUGCCUCAGCAUUUUUCUUAGUCCAAAAAUCAAUCAGUUAAGUAUCCGAAACUCACCCGAGGCCCCCGGGACCCCGUCCAAUCACACCAACCAGUCCAAUAACAUAACAUGGACCUGCUCGAGGCCUCAAAUCACAUCAAACAACAUCGAAAUCAUGAAUUGUACCCCAAUUCAAACUCAAUGAUCUUUGAAACUGUAAACUUUUACAAUCGAUGUCGAAACCUAUCAAAUCACGUCCGAUCGACCUCAAAUUUCAAAUACAAAUUCACAUUCGACAUUACGGACCUAUUCCAACUUCGGGAAUUGGAAUCCGACCCCGAUAUCAAAAAGUCCACUCCCGGUCAAACUUCUUAAAAUUAUCUAAAUUUCCAACCUUCGCCCAAAUGACCCCAAAAUGACCUACGGACCUCCAAAUCCACUUCCGGACGCGCUCCUAAGACCAGAAUCAUCAUACGGAGCUAUUUCCAGACUCGAAAUCCCAAACAGACGUCGAUAACAUUGAAAUGCACUUCAACUCAAAUUUAUGAAAUUCUUCCAAAAUACCAACCUUCCACAAUAGGCACUAAAACGCUCUCGGGUCAUCCAAAACUCGAUCCGGACAUACGCCUAAGUCCAAAAUCAUCAUACGAACCUGUUGGAACCUUCAAAUCUCGAUUCCGAGUUCGUCUACUUAAAAAUCAUACUUUAGUCAAUUUCUCCAACAUAAGUCUUCCGAAAUUAGAAUUUUCUUUCCAAAUCAACUCCGAACUUCCCGAAAUUAAAUUCCGAACACGCGUAGAAGUCAUAAUACCUGAAGUGAAACUGCUCAGGGUCUCAAACCGCCGAAUGACGCACUAGAACUCAAAACGACCGGUCGGGUCAUUAUAAUUUUGGUAUAACUUUUUGACAAGUUAUUCUUUUAUAAAUAUAUUCGGUAAUAACGAACUAUUUGAACUUCUUUUUGGUUUAAGAGUCUUUAUUUAUUAAUAAAACUUUACACAAUUUCAUAUACCCAAAUAUUUCUAUAAAAUAAGCUCCGGCUCCAGCUCCGGCUCCAGCUUUUCAUCAUCAAAAUUUUGUCUUGUUCAAGCAACAGUUACAAAAUUAAGUGUUUGUGGUUCUCUUUGACGAGCAAAAAGUUUUUGUGUUAGUUGUUAAUUUUGCAUUCAUGUAAUUGUAUUAGUAGUUGAAUUUUUUUCGAUAUAUUUGUAAACUUUGUAUUUGUAUUUAUAUUUACAGUAUUUGUAUUAAUAGUAGUUAAAUUUUAAAUUCGUGUAUUCACCCAAUACUAUCUUUAUUUUAGUCUUCUUUAUUGUGAAGCUUGGUUAAAUAGUUGCCUUUUUUGCAUUAGAUCGUGUGCUUCAACCUUUUGUCAAUCUAUUUCUUCACUAUUUUGUUGCACUCGCAUUAAAUCUUAUAUUUGUGUUGGUUAUCCAAUUUUAUAUAAGUUUUUAAAUAGAUUUCAUAUCGAACAAAAUUAUAAAUAAAAUCUUUUACUUAAUAUUUUAGAAUAAACCAAAAUUUUAGCUAUAAACUUUUCCUUAUUUGAACUAAUUAGGGAGUCCUAAUAUUUAGUAACUUAAAAUUAUUAAGAUUUUUUCUUACAUAAUUUUAUUUUAUUUGAACUAUAUAAAACACCUAUAAUUUAUUUUAAAAAUUUAUCAGUCGAAUUUAACAAUAAUGGACUGUGAAUUCUAUAUGUACUUUGGUUUGUAAUGGAGUGUGAAAAAAAUCCUUCCCUUAUAGUUAUGUGGCCAAUGAUUUUGUUACUUCGAGUUCAUGCACAAAUAAAAACUAUUGCCUAAGAAACAUCAAAGAAAGGAUAUAACAUAGUUCUUAGUUCGGAUAUUAAAUAUGUUGGAGAAUCAAACUUCUUUAAAAAGAUUUUUACGUUAAAACUUUAAAUCUUCAAAGUUCUUUUUUCUUGCUGAAAUUUAAAAAAUGAUAACUUGUGAAACUUAAAUAAUUAAAUUAUAAAAUUAAAAUUAAUUUUAAGUUACAUAUUGAUUGAGAUGAUAGUAUAUUUUUGGGAUAGAUUUUCUCCCUUUAUUGAAUAACUAAAUAAUAUUAAUAAUUAAUCAUUUUAGCAACUUAAUUAUACUUUUAAAAUUUUACCUUAAAAAUUAGCAUUGAUUGAGAUGAGGUACACGCGCAAUAUGUGUAUCCCAAGACUAGUACAUAUAAACAAAAAGAGGUGCCCUCUACUCUAGACUAAGGUUGGAUCUCCCAAUUGAAUAAUUUAUUAUAUAGAACUGUAUAGGGUAAAAUAUGUUCAUACUAAAUGCUCGCAUGAUAAAGCGACACGUGGAGCCAAAGAUAGAAGGCAAUCAGGUUUGAAGGCAACGAUCUUGUUUGUUUCCAAAGGAAAUGAUGUUCAUGAAGGUGAAACUAGCCAACCGGUAGCAUUUAAUGGAGAAUAUUAUAUAGCAUUAAGUACAUAGAUCAUUACAGAGAAUAUGACAUUCACUGCCUACCGUUACACAUUCUUCAAUGGCCUUCAUAAUUAUCAUUAAAGAGGGGCUUGAUCUUAGGACCUUGUUCCCUAUGUGCAAUUAUAAAUAGUGAGCUCAACAACUAUUAUAAAGAACAAGAAUUUUCUGACAAGCUCAUACUAUACUCUAUUCAAAAGCUCAAUAAUAUUUUAUCUUCUUGCUUAUUAAUAUUGUUACUACUGCCUCCGAAAGCUCUGCUCCCGGGAUCAGAAUUUCUGUUGCUUUGUCUCGAUUUCAACGCUAAGUCUUACAUUCUUGUUCAAUUUAUUUAUUAUUUUGGGAUCAAAUCAAUUCACUUGUCUAUAAACCACAUAUAAAUUCAAUUAUACCAUUUUACGGGUAAACAGUUUACGUCCACCGUGAGGCUUAGACAGUUGUGUAAUUGAGUUGAUCCUUGCAUCUAUUACUAACCAGUUUGAUGUUUUAUUCUUAGCAAAAAACAUAGAAAAUGACAGAUAACGAUGUCAACAUCACAGACAAUGUUGAGAUCCAAGGAAAUCAACCUCAGCACGAAGAUUCGAUCAGUGAUACCCACAAUAAGAGGGAUGAGGCCAUGUCAGUUCAUGACGGGCAAUAUCCACGACAUGGUCGAGAGGUAAUUCCUGAUGAUGCUGAAGACGAGUACGUCGUUGAAACAUUAAGGAUCCUACGGGAGCAACAAAAGGCCAUUAUGGGCCACCUCUCAUGACAGGAUUAGGUCAUGACAGAGUUGAGGCAUGCAUUGUCGGGUGCUUCCAACAAUGCGAAUGGACGAGCUCCAGUUCCUCCAGGUGCUCCCCCAAAUCAAAUAACGUAGAGGGUCGAACAAUACCCCGAAGGGCGAAGUUGGCUUCGACAGGUACAGGGGGAACGGUAGUGGAUCCGGUAAUAACAAUGAGAAUGAUCCCUUUAAAACCGAACUCAUACGGUUUAUAAAGGAAAUAAACACCCGAAUGGAUCAGAUUCCGAGCAUACCACUAGUGUUGAAAGGACAGGACUCAAAUAAAUACACCCAAUUGUCGUUCAAACCAAGUGCGACACUAGGGUUAAUCCCGAAGUGAUUCAAAAUUCCAGACGUGCCGAAGUACGAUGGGACUUCGGACCCUCAGGAGCACAUCACCGCCUAUACAACGGCGAUGAAGGGAAAUGAUUUAGCUCUGCAUGAGAGUGAGUCAGUCUUACUGAAGAAAGUCAUGGAGACCCUCACGGAGGGAGCCCUGACAUGGUAUUCUCUCUUGCCCGAGAACUCAAUAGAUUCCUUCAAGAUGCUCGUGAAUUCUUUUAUCACGGCCCAUGCCGGGUACAGAAAGGUACAAGCCCGAAAGGCCGACAUAUUCAGGACUGCACAAGGAGAGUCCGAAUUGCUGAGAGAGUUUGUGACCAGAUUUUAGAAAGAAAGGAUGAUGCUCCCGGUCAUACCAGACGAAUGGCCAGCAGAAGCAUUCACUAAAGGGCUGAAUCUGAGAAGUUCCGAUGCUUUCUGAAAAUUGAAAGAAAGUGUGCUCGAGUUCCAAGAAAUAACAUGGGUAGAUAUUCACAACUGGUACGAGUCAAAGAUAAGAAUUGAGGAUGAUCAGCUUGGUUUCCCAACAUCGACCAAGGGUCGGGACCAGGAGAAGAAUAAGGACAAAUCAAAGGAUGAUUUUGACACAGAUCGACGGUCUUCAAGGGGUCGAUUUUUGCCAUAUAAACGGGCCGAAGGACGCGGUAGAGGUUUCUGAUCAACGGAUAUAUUCGCUAGCUAUAGGAGAGCGGACUACAGUCGGAAUAAUAGAUCACUACAAGACAAGGAGAUAUUGGGUUCCCGGGAAUCCUCUUACCCCAGGCUAUCCGAGUACAACUUUAACGUCAGCGUAGUGAAUCCAGUGUCGGCUAAGAGGAACAUUAAGAAAGCACGGUUCCUAAAGACAAUGAGAUCUGAUCCCACUCAAAGGGAUCCUAAUUUAUGUUGCGAAUACAAUGGGACCAAUGGCCCACGGACAGGGGACUUCCGGCAUUUGCGCGAGGAGGUGGCAGCAUUGCUAAAAACGACCAUCUCAAAGAAUUCUUAAGCGAUCGGACUAAAAAUAAUUACGGCCGCAAUCAUGAUAACUCGGAACCUUCAAAAGCAGGAGAAGACCCCUNNNNNNNNNNNNNNNNNNNNNNNNNNNNNNNNNNNNNNNNNNNNNNNNNNNNNNNNNNNNNNNNNNNNNNNNNNNNNNNNNNNNNNNNNNNNNNNNNNNNNNNNNNNNNNNNNNNNNNNNNNNNNNNNNNNNNNNNNNNNNNNNNNNNNNNNNNNNNNNNNNNNNNNNNNNNNNNNNNNNNNNNNNNNNNNNNNNNNNNNNNNNNNNNNNNNNNNNNNNNNNNNNNNNNNNNNNNNNNNNNNNNNNNNNNNNNNNNNNNNNNNNNNNNNNNNNNNNNNNNNNNNNNNNNNNNNNNNNNNNNNNNNNNNNNNNNNNNNNNNNNNNNNNNNNNNNNNNNNNNNNNNNNNNNNNNNNNNNNNNNNNNNNNNNNNNNNNNNNNNNNNNNNNNNNNNNNNNNNNNNNNNNNNNNNNNNNNNNNNNNNNNNNNNNNNNNNNNNNNNNNNNNNNNNNNNNNNNNNNNNNNNNNNNNNNNNNNNNNNNNNNNNNNNNNNNNNNNNNNNCAAAGGAAGAUGCAGAUGGACUACUGUUGUUGCACAACGAUGCCUUGGUAAUCUCUUUAAAUGUCUUAGAUUUUAAAAUUAAACGUAUUUUGGUUGACCUAGGAAGUUCGGCCAAUAUUAUCUAGUGGAGAGUGCUGGAGCAAGCCAAGCUAAUAAAAAGUAUCGUUCCGUCCACAAAACUCCUCGUCGGGUUUAAUCUAGAAAGCGUGACAAACCGAGGAGAGAUCCUGCUGCCCAUAAAUGUUGAGGGGGUGAUGAAGACGACCCUUUUCAAGGUAAUUGAUGGCGAUAUGAGCUAUAAUAUUAUCUUGGGGAGACCAUGGUUACAUGAGAUGGAGGUUGUGCCAUCAACAUAUUAUCAGUUACUAAAGUGCCCGACUACCGAGGGGAUUAAACAAAUAAGAGGAGACCAACCUACGGCAAGGGAGAUAAACGCAAUCUCAAUUUCCAGUAGCAAAGGGAAGGAAUGUGCAAAAUAGCAAUUAUAGGAACUGGCGCCUGCUCCCAAGCCGAGCGUAGUCAACCAGGGGGAGGAGUCGUUAGAAUCUAUCAGGUAUCGAGAUAUUUCCAGAUACCAAAAGAAACGGACGCAAUAAAAUCCACAGCAGAAGAACAUGUGCAAGUCGUGUUGUUCGAAAGGUUCUUGGAGAGAAAGUUCAACUUGGGGACAAGACUUAAAGUUGACUAUUUUGUGUGGUCGCAUGCAGAUAUGACAUGUAUCCCAUCAGAAGUGUCAGUGCAUAAACUAAGCCUACAGGAUCCCUCCGGUAAGACAGAAAAAAUGUCAUAUUGUCAAGGUCAGAAACAAAUUCGUCAAAGAAAAGGUAACUUGUUUGCUUGAUAUCGAUUCAAUCCGAGAGGUAAAGUAUCCUGACUAGCUAACUAACGUAGUAAUAAUUCCAAAGAAAAAUAAUAAAUUUUGCAGUAGACUAUAAGGAUAUAAAUAAGGCAUGCCCCAAAGACUCGUUCUCAUUGCCAAAUAUUGAUCAAAUAAUCGGCGCGACAGCUGGGUACGAGUUAAUGAGUUUCCUCUAUACUUAAUUCGGGUACAAUAAAAUCAAUAUGAACCCGGAGGAUCAGGAAAAAACUUCAUUCAUAACGAAUUUUGGUGCAUAUUGUUAUAAUGUGAUGCCAUUCGGGAUAAAGAAUGCUGGUGCCACUUAUCAGUGGCUCGUAAACAAAAUGUUCGAGAAACAAAUAGGGAAAACCAUGGAAAUUUACAUAGAUGAUAUGCUAGUUAAGUAUUUGAACGCAUGUGAUCAUCUUAAACACUUGUAAGAAACCUCUGACAUCCUAAGAAAGUGCAACAUGAAGCUUAACCCCAAGAAGUGUACAUUCAGAGUUAGCUCUGGUAAGUUCUUGGUAUUCCUAGUGUCACAAAGUGGGAUCGAGGUCAUCCCUGAUAAAAUUAAAGCCAUUGAAGCCCGGACCAGCUAUCAAGCAUGAAAAUGGUUCCAAGGUAGUCAAGAAGACUGUCCGCUUUAAGCAGAUUCAUUUCCCGGUCUUCGAAAAAAUGCUAUCAUUUCUUUUCACUCCUCAAAAAGAAGAACAACUUGAAAUGGACUAUGGAAUUCCAGCAGGCUUUGAAAGAUUUGAAAAGGUAUUUGUCAAGUCCUCCAUUAUUGUCAAACCAAGAGGAAAGCGAAUAGCUAUUGAUCUACUUAGCGGCCUUGGAGGUAGCGGUAAGUGUCGUUUUAGUCCGUGAGGACGAAGGUACAAAAUCUCCCAUCUAUUAUGUUAGUAAAAUUUUAACGAGAGCAGAAAACCGCUACCCGACUCUUGAAAAAUUGGCCUUAGCUCUCGUAGUCGCCGCUCGAAAACUUAGGCCUUAUUUCCAAUGUCAUCUGAUAGUCGUGGUGACCACCUUUCCCCUACACAAUAUCCUUCAUAAACCUAAACUUUCAGGUACGCUGGCCAAGUGGGCAAUCGAAAUGAGUGAAUUUGACAUAGAGUAUAAACCUAAGACUGUAAUUAAGUCACAAUUUUUGGCUAACUUUGUGGCCGAUUUCAGUCCGGGAAUGUUACUUUUGGCUACCAAAGAAGCAGUAAUGGUGUCAAAAUCGACAUUAGGAGUUUGGGUUUUGUUCACAGAUGGGGCUUCCAAUGUGAAAGGGUUCGGGCUUGGCUUAAUGCUAAUCACGCCCUCGGGAGAAAUCCUAAGGCAGGCCAUAAGAACUGUUCCUCUGAAUAACAAUGAAGCAGAGUAUGAAGCUUUAAUUGCAGGACUCGAGCUAGCCUGGGGACUAUACUCCGAGGUCAUAGAAAUCAAAUGCAAAUCCCAAUUGGUAGUAAAUUAGGUCUACGGGAUCUUCGAAACCAAAGAGGAUGCAUGCAGCAAUAUGUAAUCAAAGUCCAGGCUCUGUUCGCGCGGUUCGGGGAAUAGUCGAUUACCCACAUACUGAGAGAAGAAAACAUGGAGGCAGACGCACUAGCCAAUUUGGGAUCGUCCACCAAAAUGAAGGGAUCGGACUCUAGUACGGUCGUGCAGCUUAUGCAUUUGGUAUUGGACGCAGACAGCUAUUACGAAGUAAACGCGACCAAUUUGGUCUGGGACGGGAGAAAUGAGAUCAUAGACUUUCUCGAGCACGGAAAAUUCCCUGAAGAUCCCAAGGCAUCUCGAGCACUGCGCAGUAAAACAGCUCGAUAUAGCUUCAAGGGAGGUCAACUAUAUAGAAGAUCUUUACAAUGCCUGUUGGCCCGAUGUUUGAAAGCUUCCGAAGCUAACUAUGUCAUGCGAGAAGUCCACAAAGAGAUCUGCGAAAAUCACUCAGGGGCGGAUUCCUUACUGUUAAAAUUAAUUAGGGCAGGAUACUACCGGUCCCGGAUAGAACAAGACACCAAGGCUUAUGUUCAGAUAUGUGAUAAAUGUCAACGCUACGCACCAUUGGUACAUCAACUGGCAGAGCUACUACACUCAGUUUUGUCACCAUGGCCAUUCAUGAAAUGGGGGAUGGAUUUAGUCGGUUCGCUGCCCUCAGCCCCCAGUAAGGUAAGUUUUCUUUUGAUUUUAACUGACUAUUUUUCUAAAUGUGUUGAAGCAAGUCCCUAUCAGAAAAUCGGUAAACGCAAAGUGGUAGAUUUCUUGUGGGAAAACAUAAUUUGCAGAUUCAAGAUACCAAAAGAGAUAGCCUGCGACAACGAGCCAUAGUUUAUAGGCGCAAAGGUCACAAAAUUCCUUGAAGACUUAAAAAUCAAAAGGAUAACAUCAUCACUCUAUCACCCGAGCGCAAGCGUUCAAGCAGAAUCAGAAACAAGGUGAUUAUCCAAAAUCUCAAAAAAAAUAUUGGAAGCAGCCAAAGGCAAAUGGCCCGAAGAGCUACUAGGAGUACUAUGGGCGUACCGAACAACGGCCAAAUCAAGCAUGGGGGAGAAUCCUUUCUUUCUUGUGUACGGAGCAGAAGCCUUGAUCCCGAUGGAAGUAGGAGAACCUACCAUGAGAUAUUUUCGGGCGGAUGAAGAAAGAAACAAUGAAACAAUGUUGAUCAAAUUGGAGUUGCUCGACGAACGAAGGGACUUGGCGCAUAUAAGGAUUGCAACCCAAAAAUAGAGAAUGGAAAGAUAUUGCAAUCGAAGAGCCAAUCUCUGUUAUUUCAAAGUAGGAGACUUAGUUAAAGGAAAGUAACUCAUAAUACCCGGGAGCUUAACACAGAAAAGCUAGGUCCAAAGUGGGAAGGCCCCUAUCGAGUUUCAGCUAUCACUAGGAAAAGGGUCAUACGAAUUGGAAAAUCAAGACAAAGUAAAGUUGUCGAGCAACUGGAAUGUGGCACACCUCAAAAGAUACUAUUGCUGAUGAGCCUCGCCUAUACUGAAAGUAUGUGCUACACUCUUUUUUCCUUCGCCCAGUUUUUGUCCCAAAUGCAUUUUUCUGGCAAGGUUUUAAAUGAGGCAGCAACAGAAAGCCUACCACGAAGGAAGCUUUGUCAGCAAAAAUAAGACCUUUAAAUGACAAGGCAUGCAAGAAAUGAGCUACUACAGAGCGGUUAGAUAGUCUUUUGCUCGGUAGCAAAGUUCCUACCGGGAAAUAAAAUUUGCUAUCGAGCCAAAGGUUACCCGACCGUUCACGAGUGCAAGUCACUGGGGGGAUUGUUAGAUAAUCUUUGGCUCCAUAGAAAAGUUCCUAAGUGGAAAUGAAGUUUGCCAUCGAACUAAAGAUUAUCUCACCAUUCACUAGUGGAAUCAUCAAAGAUGCAAGACUUCCAGUGUUCAAAUUCGCAUUCUUCGCAUUCGAACACUAGGGGGGAUAAUAUGAGAAUAUGACAACAAUGACUACCACAUCGACCGGGACUAUGAAAUCCGAAAACAAAGUUGUAUUAUCGGGACCGGGGACUGCGCGACCAGCCUUAUAGAAACAAGUUGUACAAGUUAGCCACAAAUAAUGGCAAUUUCUUUUUUAGCACAACGAAUGCUUAUGUACUUUUGAAAAUGAAAGGAAUAAAGUAAAUUCCUUUUAUUUUUAUCUUGUUUUUCGUCCUAUCGAUGAAUUAAUUUUAUCAUCUAAAAGUUAAACAAGUACUUCAAAUGCUAGUGUUGUAAUGAACAUGAGAUGUUCUCUUCAAGAGCACCGUAAAUAUAAGAGGGCCCUCUAUUAUAAAACCCUCACAGUAAAGGGUUGAUUCCGGAAGAACUUAUGCCCGGGAUCCAAAUGUUAUCGGGGAAAAAUACACCUAAAGCCUUGCAUAAUUCGACGCAAAGAGAAAACUUGUGCAAUACUCGAACGGAAAGUACGCAAAGAGAAAAACUUCCGCAAUACUUAAACGGAAAAAUACUUUUAUAUAAAACAUACGUGCCAAGCAGCAUAAGUACAAAAAUAUGGAAAGGAAAAGGAAAAGUGAAAAGAAGGCAAAAAGCUAAGCUACUCAAUCCGGAGGAAGGGAAGCAUUUGCACCCCAGGAGAUGUAGGCGGGUCCGCCGCCGACUCAAUAUCUUGUCCUUCACCAUCUUGGCUUUCAGCAUCAUCCUCUUCUGGUUUUUCUUCAAUUUCCCGGAACAUGAAACCAGAAUCAGAAGAGUCGGUAGCAUCAGGUUGAACUAAGAGACCCCUAUGGGCAGUUGACUUCUGCUCACUAGCCUUAAAGAUUUCGGCAUCAAAGUCAACGACGCCCGCUUUGGCCUCUUCCAAGGUUUUUUUCCUCAUGAUAUACAUUGAAUAUGUGUUUUCAACAAUGAGGGAAGCUGCUCGGCGCUGAAUUUCUUCCUUAAGACGGUCAACCUCGGUCAAAAGGUUAUCCCGCUCAGAUCUAGUGGCCUGGAGGAUGACAUCAAGGUCAUAGACAGUGGAGUUAAAAACUUUAUUGUUCUCCAUGACUCUCUUAUGCCUCUUUUCCAAUCGUACACACUUCUCCUCGGCAACAACAACCUCUUAAGCUUUGGAGUUCAAGGCCGCCUCCAAAUUAUUCAAUCUUGCAGUAGAGGAAGCCUCGCGAUCGGAUAUAGCAAGAAUGGCAUUCUGGACCUCAACCUACUUUGCCUUAGCCUUUUCAAAUUGUACCCUUAAUAGGGCAGCCUCUUGGCUGAGGGUCACUACCUCUUGCUCACUUUGCUACAACCGAACCUCCAACUCAACAGCCUCAACAGCUUGAGUUUCCAGUGUAGGAGGCGAGCAGCCAUUCAAUCCCGCUCGGCCAACAGUUGGUCUCGCUCAUAGGUAAGUUUCUCCUUGUCAAAGACCAACCUCUGAAGGCCCUCGGAAUUAAAGAAGUUAGCCUAUAAAACAAAAGUACAAAUUAAAAUCCCUACCAUUACAAAGAUAGAAAAAACAACAGAGGAAACAAAGAUGGUAUUGUCGCUGCGUUGUGCAUGGCAUUGUUCAAGAAACACUCUCCUGAGAGAGAUUGUAUUUUAUUCUUAUCCUUUUCUGAAGCCAGAGGCUUCAGUAAUUAGCAAGUUCCACCGGCCAGGACAGCAGAUGACAUCCGGUAGAAACCGAGAGAGAAACACUCUUCCUCCUCUGAGGAUCUUCAGAUGGGACAAAAUAAUUGCGCCCCAAAUUCCCAUAAACUAGGGAAGAGGGACAUCCUCCUCUCGGACGCCUGCGGCCGGUGGAGAUGAUGUAGUAGUUGCUGGAGGCAAAGGCAAAGUUGACGAAGAAGGAGAUGAAGUUGAUGGCGUUGUAGGUUGUGAAGCAGCUGCGGCAAAAAUAAUGCUAGUUGUUGGUUAGUCAUAAAUCGAAGACGGGAGAGACCCGGUACCCAGCCUCACGGUAUGACCGACUAGGAUUCGGAAGAGAGAGUGUGCAUCUUCCACCAUAUCAUAUGCCCCCCCCCCCAGAGCGUCGGGGCGUCAUCCUCGGUUAGUAUAACUAGCUCAACAGAGCAUUCUGUUAAAAUAAUAAAGGUCGUUGUCUUCUAUGUAAAGAAGCCCCUUCAUCACUAGCUCCUCCAUCAUUAUCGAUCACCAUAGUGUCUCUGGUUGGCUCGGGCGCGGUGCUCAUCACCACAGCGUCCGCGGAUUGCUUGGGCGCGGCGCUCUUCGCCUUUUUAUUUUUGCCCCCGGCCGUGGAGGAACGUCGCCUUUUUUGUUGCUUGUUCUCCGGUCGGGGACACUGAGAAGAAACACUUGCACUGGUAGAAGGCCCGGUGACACCCGUUCGGGUAAAAACCUCUUACAGCAACCUUGCAGAAUCAGCCUGAUCAGCCGAAUCAGCCAAAACGUCCUCCUCGGGGGCGGUAACAGAGCCCUGCGGAAGACCUGAAUUCAACAGGAAAGAAAGGUUAACUAAUUUUCCUAUACAAGAAGUAAAAACAAGAUAAGUUUAUCCUACCAUAUUUUUUGGCCUUCCACCCAUAUUUAAGGGCUAAUUCUUUCCACUUGCGGGUCCCAGGCGUAGUGACAUCCAGAAUCUUCUCGACCCACUGGUCCAAGUCUUCAACCCUAGGUAGUGUCCACCGAGUUGCUGAAAUAGUGAAAGAAGAAGGAUCAGUAACAACAUGAGAAAAUCUUUAACUAGAAGAAAAAACAAACGAUGAACUUACGAGUACGGUUCCAUAAUUCAGGAAAUGAUGGAGUUGUGGUCGGAAUGAUGUCUCUGGUGGCAACUACAAUGAACCGCUUCAUCCAUCUGCGGUCGUUGUCAUCAUCCAUGCUGGUUAGUAAAGCAUGGUGGCCACGUUUGCUGAAAUUUAUCAUUCCCCAGCGAAAAAUCUUGGGGAAAUAAAGGUUCAUCAGUCGAGCCAGGGAUAGCUCUUCUCCCGUCUCCUGGCAUAGACGCCGAAGACAAGCAAUAGUCUGCUACACAGAAGGGCUCACAUGUGCCAAGCAGACUUGGUAACGAAGGCAAAACUCUAAGAUAACGAAGUCAAGCCCCCUGCUCAAUGAGAACGGCCCCAAAGUAAAAGGAUACGUAUAAACAUACGUAAAACCCUUCUUGUAGAAGGUUACCAGCUCCCUCAAGUCAGGAGAGAUGAUGUUUAAAUCUUGACAACCACAAUCUUUAUUCACAACAAGGAUGCUAGAAGAGCGGAUGGAAGAGGGAUAUAUGCCAACAGCCCAUGUUCGAGGGUUUGCAGAAGAUUACUUCUCUUCAAAGUCCUUAGUUGCAAUAAGCUUUCUGGGAAUGAUGGUGCUCACCAUGGGAGUAGCAUCAUCAUCAGCACUUUCUUUGUUCUUCGAAGCACUUGAAUUUCUAGAAGAGGAGGCCAUUGUUAUCAUAAGAGAAUAAGGGUUUUUUCUCUGAAGAAGAAGAUUAGAGGAAGUGGAAAAUAAGUGUGAGUUGAGUAAAGAAAGUUUGAGAGACUUUGGAAAAUUAUGAAGUGUAAAAGGAGAAUAUUGAUGCGUAUAAGUAAAAGAAUAGGCGGCUAAAAUCGUGGUCAUAAUUACCUCGAUAACCGGCAAAAGAGUUGUUGAAUCAUGGGAUGAUGCAUUUUGGGGGCAUUAAAUGCGGAGAGACGUGUGUCUAAUCAACCGUCAAAAAUUUUUCAGAGGGGGUCAGAGAAUUUUCCGCCAAGAAAGAUAUCUUUACCAACUUCCCGGCGACACAAGGUUAUGCCAUCGGAAAGCGGGGGAACUAUAUGUAUAGGGUAAAAUAUAUUCAUAUUAAAUGCUCGCAUGAUGUGGAGCCGAAGACAGAAGGCAAUCAGGUCUGAAGGCAACGAUCUCGUUUGUUCCCGAAGGGAAUGAUGUUCAUAAAGGCGAAUUAAAUAUCUGCCACCCGGUAGCAUUUAAUAGAGAAUAUUCUAUAGUAUUAAGUACAUAGUCCAUUACAGAGAAUAUGGCAUUCACUGCCUACCGUUACACUUUCUUCAAUGACCUUCAUAAUUGUCAUUAAAGAGGGGCUUGAUCCUAGUACCUUGUUCCCUAGGUGCAAUUAUAAAUAGUGAGCUCAACUAUUAUUGUAAAGGACACGAAUUUUUUGACAAGUUCAUACCAUACUCCGUUCAAAAGCUCAAUAAUAUUUUAUCUUCUUGCUUAUUAAUAUUGUUACUACUGCCUCCGGAAGCUCUGCUCCCGGAACUAGGAUUUCUACUGUUUUGUCUCGAUUUUGACGCUAAGUCUUACAUUCUUAUUUAAUUUAUUUAUCAUUUUGGAAUCAAAUCAAUUCACUUGUCUAUAAACCACGUAUAAAUUCAACUAUACCGUUUUACGGGUAAAUAAGAACUUAUUUUCUUUUUUCGCUUAUAAAAGGAUAACAUAUUACAACGACUUAGUCUGAUUACAUACAAAAUGGGAGUCCAAAAUGGCAGUCUACAAUAGUAUUUACUUAUUGAACUUAUACAUAGGUUGAGUUGUGUGUGUGUGUGCGCGGUUUUUUUUUUUUUGGGGGGGGGGGGGGUUAGGGCAAAAGGAGGAGGAGAAAAUGAUGGCUUAAUUUUUUUAUAAAAGAACGAAUCUUCUAAAGUAGAUAUUAGGCAUAAAAAGGCCAUAAUUAGAGGUUGAACUGAUGUUUAGGAAAAGAAGUCGCGUGAAGGCCACAACUUAUAAGUGGCAAUCAAUUUGCUGCGGUAGUUACAUUCUAAAGUAAUUAUUUAGAACUCGCCAUUUUGGACUUGAAAACUCAGUUGACAGAAUUGACUAUUAAUUAAAGCUUGCAUUUUUUGACAACGGUGGUUGUGGCAUGCUUGGUUGAUUAGGUCAUUCAUCAAUGAAGCAGCUAUGACUACAAUCUAAUAUUAAAGGAUACAUUGUCGGAAGCGUGUUAGAAUUGUUGGGCUCAGUAAUUCUAUUUAAGAUUUUAAAGUCAUAUGUGCUUGCCCAAAAUAAUUCUAUAAGAAGAGAAAAAAGAGUUUAAUUGUGAGUGCUCACUCAGUACUUUUUUUUAAAAUUUAUAAUUGCCUAUAUAAAUCUAUUAAAUUUGAUUAAAGGCAAUGGGUGCUUAAGCACACAUAAUACUCCGGGUAGAUCUGCUUCUCGUUGGGAUCUCACUAUUUUUAAUCAGAGGUUAACUUUAGGAAUAGAAAACCUUUUGAUGUGAAAUAUUUUAUUUAUCUUGUUACCGAGUUUACUCAUCAUGAAUCCGAUAAAAAGGAUUAAAGAAUACCACUAGAUCGAGUGAUUCUAUUUCCGCUUUUAUUCAGGAGUGCUUCAUCUCUAAUGUGAAACUUUUCAACGUAAAUUCAAAUUUAAUCGGGCUCAAAUAACAAAUGAGAAACAAAAAGAGAUGGUAUUUAAUUGAAGACUCAUAAACUGCAUUCGUACAAUGAAUUAGGUACUAGUUAAUAAGGUUGCAUCUGUGGACCAUGCUGUUUUGGCACAUGCUAGGCUAGAUCCUUUUCUACUCGCAUGAAUUGCUUUCUACACCCAAAUGCAUGUGCAGUCCACAGGCCUGAUAUAUUAUAAGUUCUGAAAUAUAUGGGUUCGAGAUUUUAAAUCUUUUAAAUUAUUGAAUUUUAAAUUAAUAAUUUAUAAAUAUUAAUAAAUUUCUUAAGGCAAAACAUGGUUUGUAUUAAAGUUACUGGGUUCGGCCGAACCCAUAAUUUCUACCCUCCCUCCACCUCUGUCCAGUAAUAUUAGUGGAAGUUCAAGCCUUAACUAAUCCAUACUUAUUAGACAACAAUUUAUAUCUAUAGGUUUUUAUGAUUCAAACAGAAACAGAGGGAGUCAAGCGACAUUUUAGCAAGUCAUUUGAUAAACUUGUAGUGCUUUUCAUAGGAAAGGAUACAAAAUACAGGUAUUUUAAAAAUACUUUUAUAUUAGAACUAAAUUACUGCUGCAUAAUUAAACACUAUCGAUCUCUUUAUAUACCUCACAAGCAGCAGCUAGUUCCGUUUUGCUAGCCUCACAAAUAAUUAAUGUCAUUAAUUAUGUUAGCGACCAAGAUCAUGUAACAAGUAGUACCCUAGAUUAGGAUUGGAUCUCGUAAGUAAUUAGGGGUCGUAUCCUUACCCGAUUAGGAUUAUAAUCCAUUGUUGAUUGAUAUUAAUUAGCUAGUACCGCUACAAAUUUCUAAACUGAUCUUUUGGGAAAGGGAAUUUAUUUUUUCCACCUUCCAAAAAAAAAGAAGAUUAUUAUGAAAAGACAAGAAAAUAAAACGACUAUUUUCGAAAGACAAUAGUGUUGUUUUUCUUUUUGUUUUUUUGGCCAAAGUCAAUUUGCUGAUCAUCUUCUAAUAAAUUUAUUAAAAUUCACAUGCACCAUUUCGGACGUAGAAAUAGAAACUCAGUUCAGUCGACAUGGUUGAUAAGAAAAGCCUGCAUCUUUAGACCUUGGUGGUGUCACGUGUGGCUUUACUUGGUUAGGACAUUAUAUAAUUUAUCAACUGCUUAGCUAAUCAAGAUUCAUGUAGUAGAAGCCCAGCUAUAUAAAAGAGCAAUUCUAGCGAUUUUUAUCAAAGAGGACUUUAUUCUCAGGCAAUUACUAAGAAUAGGAAUGACAAAGUAAAAAAUCAAACAAAGGUCAGUAGUAACGUAACAGCAAGAAAUAUGUUCUAUAUUCAUCACUAAUUUACUAUGGAUUCCGAAUUAUUUGAUUUAAAAUGGUACUAAACGUCCAUUUUCUUGAAUACGUUACAUAUAUUUCUUAUGUAGACUUUGAAGUACUAUGAGAAGGUCCAAUAAUUUGACUUGAAUUUGCACAUAAGAGCAACCUUUAAUUUUGGUGUACUCUUAAAAGUGAUUACUAAAGCAGCUUAUGAAAUCUUGCAGUAGCCUUUUCCCUAUCCCUAUCCCUAUGUGUCUGUGAUGUAACUUUCUAAUGUCUACUAUUAUAACUAAAAAGUAAUUUUACUUAUAUACAACUGAUAUUGUGAAGAUUUUAUAUGCUAUUAAAUCUAUUUUGAAUGAACUGAUAGUGUAAAAUUAUUGUUAUACUGGUGAUAUAUAUAAGUUAAACAUUUAAAAAAAUUUGGAUUAUAAACUUGCAAUAUGAUCGAAAUACACCUUAAUAAUGCGAGAAGGGGGUUGUUGGGGAUCAUCUUCUUCUUCCUAUCCCCAAAAAAAAAAAGAGGAGAAGAAAGGAAUAAUUUCUCAUGUGGAAAAAUGAUUUGUUAAAAGCUUUUUUGUCUGAUCGAAAAGAACAAGGAAAGACAUUGUUGUAAAGCCAGAAUCCCAGACAAGUUAGGACUAACGAUUCAUUAAAAUUUGCACAACUCAAAUUAAAACACCUUUGAUUUAUGUCAAAUAUUAUCUAUUUUUCUCUUACUAUCUUACUUUUUGCUUUUCUAGUGUAGCCAUACAAAAAUAAUUUGCUUUCACGGAGGAAUUAUUGGCUGAAAAUAACUGAAAAUUGUAAAAUAGGAUGGUGUUUACCCUAAAAAAAAACGGAUAACAAUUGAAUUUAUAUAUGGUUUUAAUAUAUGCGGAUUAAUUCAAUACAAAUGAUAAAAAAAUGUUAGAAUAAACAGAUAAAGAACGUAAUAAAUUGUCAAACCAAUUAAGGAGAGUGACCUCGGACUCAGUAACAGCUUAAUGAAAUGCAUGUCUUCGAUCCCGGGCUCACACUAAUGAAGAACUGAUGAACAAAAGUAAGAACUUUGAAUAAUAGAGAAAAUAAGAACUCUGAAUAAUAGAAGAAAAUAAGAGUAUAUUGCCUUGAUACGCGCGUUACAAUAUCCUCUAUGAAUAAUAAGCUUUCCACUUUAUAUAGUAAGGGGUUUUUACCCUAAGUAUAAUUCUAAAAAAGGUAAAGAUCUUCCGUUUCGACGAUCACUGAUUUUUCGCCGAUACGAGCCGAGAUUCGCGCUGUGAUAUUCGGUUAGGCACAGAUAUCACGGCCAUUUGUUAGUCGUGUGCAGCUGCUUGGUAAUGCUUUCCGAAGUCUCAAUCCUUAAAUCAGACCUCGAGGAUAUGGCCCUAAUAUCCCCGAGGGCAGGUGUUUGCCCGAGCCCUGAUACGAGAAGUUCUUCGUUCUCACUCUGAUUCAUUAUGGUCACGUUCCUGCUUCGCUUGGCUCACCGGGAAGUCGAGUCAUGCAGCGGGCUCGGUUUUUCCUGUAAUUGAAUUCCUAGGUUAGGUAGAGAUACUAGUUCAGCCAUUUGAAAAUUUUGUAACCUAGUAAGUAAGUUCUUCCAAUCAAAAUCACACAAAAAAAUGGCACUUCUUGUCAUUUCUAUUCAAGAGGAAACAUGUGGACAUCCAUCUAACCACAAUUAAUGUAAAACAAACGAACAAACAGACACUAUCUGAUUAACGUUUGCAUUUUAUAGAAGUUCGUUUUUCCACGAUGGAUAUAGGAAAUGUUAGUAAAUUCAAGUGACCAUCCCAAAAAUAUUUAUUAUUGCCUUUUCCCAAUUUUAUGUUAUAUCCUUGCUUAAAGUGUCUUCUUACCUAACACUUUUAAUGUUGCAAUACAAGUUAGUAGCGUUACUCGAGAUGUCAGUAACGAGCUCACUCUUUUGGACGAGUAACUUUAUUUUAUAUAAUUCGUGUAACGUGAGAACUUAGAGAUAAGAUAUGUUUUCCAAAUAUAACUUUGUCUUGACUUAGUUGUUAAAUAAAUAUUUGUUGCCUUCAAACAACUAAAAAGAAAGAAUUGUUAUUAAAACUUAAAAGUACAAUUUUUAGAAUUCAGUUUCACUAUUAUAAAAAACCUAGCUAAUCCAAGAGUGAAGGUACCAAUUUUGUCGGCAAAAUGUAAAAAAAAAAAAUGCGACGCAUCACACUUUAAUUUAAUACCAACCAAAAUUCUUUUAUUGGUUAGCAAAAUUUUGGACUUGAAACCACAAUUAGGUAGGGGUAUUUUUCCCUUGAGCUAGUGAUUACAAGAAGAAAAUCCAAGAGAGGGAAUUAAAAUGAAAUAAAAUAUAAGGGGAAAAGCAGAAGAAGAGGAGAGAAAACAGUUGAUAGGGAGAAGUCCCAGAUGUCGCUGACAACUGCGCCUUCUUUUCAAAUCUGGCGGAGGUUCAUCGCAGCCUCCCCUAUAACUUGUCGUUCAAAAGUAUCCAUAUCCAAAUCCUCUCUUCUUAAAAGCCAUAGAAGAGCUGCCUCUCUCCGCUGCUAUUCCUCUUCUAGUGCUACAAGAAUGGCUGACGCUAACAUGGACGCUGUUCAGCGCCGUCUCAUGUUUGAAGACGAGUCUGUUCUCUUUUCUUAAUCCCUCAUUUGAUCAUUUUGGUUAUACUAUUUUUCCCAAAUUAAGGAAAUAUAAUUUCUAAGCUCCUCCUGUUAUUGAAAGAUAAGAUGAAAAAAUUAAUUUUCUACGAUACAGGAUUAGGUGAAUGUUGUAAAUGUUUUUUUUUUAAUUAUAUCUAAACCCUGGGAUAUGAAAGUCUAAAUAAUCUUGUGAUACUUGCUAAAUUGCUUGUUUUCUAGAAUUUUUACCACCAGGUGUUUGACGAAAUUAUUUAGAAAAGCAGUUCUAUUAUCUGCUUUCUAGCAAAUGCUUUUUUAAUCUGGAUCUAUGUACUUACUGGUGCAACCAUUUUCCAGCCCCCUUUUUUGCUAAGUUUAACACGUUUUCCACGUUUUGACUCUUGCAGAUGUAUUCUGGUGGAUGAGAAUGAUCGUGUUGUUGGUCAUGAUACCAAGUACAAUUGUAAGUUGUGCUUCGAUGUUUCUGUGUAUUGCUCUUAAUGCAAUAUUGUCUUACCUCUUUCGAAAUGUAUUUGCCAGACUGGCUAUAGUUCCUUUUGAUUGCUUUGAUUUUUCUGUGUUUUGCUCUUAAUGUUAUAUUAUCCGGAAAAGGACCAAAUAUACCCUUGUACUUUCGAAAAUGGUCUAAUAAUAACUCUUGUUAUACUAUUGUGCUAUACAUACCCUUCCCAUCAUGCUUUGGAACAAAUAUACCCUUAUUUUGGAUGGAGUGACACGUGUCAGCACCAAAUGAAAACGACCCUUUUUUUUUUACCCGAUCCGUUUUAAAAAACACACCACCCGACCCGUUUUAAAAUUCAGUUUUUUUAAAGCAUAUAUUUUGUAAAAUCUGGAUUUUUCUUUUUGUAAAAACUGGAAAAAAAAGGAAUUUUCAAAAUAUAUAUUUUUAAGUCUUUUCAGUUUUUUUUUAAGUAUUUUUUUUUGUAAAAACUGAAAAAAAAAAAAAUGCUUUAAAAAAAAGACUCUCCUAAAGCAGUGGACUACAUAUGCAUUAAUCUUUUAAAAAAAAACUGAAAAUAUUUUGCUAAAUCUCUUUUUUUUCAGUUUUUACAAAAAAAAUACUUUUAAAAACUUAAAAAACCGAAAAAUAUAUAUUUUGCAAAUUCCUUUUUUUUUUNNNNNNNNNNNNNNNNNNNNNNNNNAAAUAGGUCGUUUUCACCUUGUGCUGCCACGUGGCACUCCAUCCAAAAUAAGGGUAUAUUUGUUCCAAAGUAUGACGGGAAGGGUAUAUAUAGCCCAAUAGUAUAACGAGGGGUAUUCUUAGACCAUUUUCGAAAGUACAGGGGUAUAUUUGGCCCUUUGCCGUAUAUUAUCUUACCUCAAUACUAUCAAGGGAGUCUGAUGGUUAAAAGUUCUAGAAUUGUAUUUGAGAUAAGACAUGAGGCAGAUUUCAAUAUCUUGUUACCCUUAAAUGUGAGGUUGUUAUCCUCGUUGCUCUCUGCUCUCUAGGUGAUAGCACCUUUCCGAAAAUUACUACUAUGUGCAUAUCAAAUUGCUUAUUGUGGAAAUACAUCUUUUGUUAUUCUGCAGAUAUUUCGUGGAGACCUUCACUUAAUUUUGUUUUUGGACAAUCUUUUUCUCAUUAACUGUCUUGGUGAAUGUUACCUGAAUUGAUACUGGUGAUGCACUUCUUAAUUGAGCCAUGUUAAGUAAUUCUUGGGCCGUCUUCUUAUUUUUAGCUAUCUGAUAAACUAGAUUGCAUGUGGCUUAACUUGGUAUGGUGACCUAGCUAGAAAUUUAACUUUUUUCCCUGACAGCUUCUAAGAGUUAUGAUCUCUAGGGAGCACUCUCAUUGUAAUUGGAAUGAACGUCCUAUGAUUCAAUCUAAACCGUUUAUCUGUUUUUGCAUUCUUUUGUCCAAGAACAUUGGCGUCCAUCUCCCCAACAAGAUGACAGUGAUCUUCAUGCUUAUUCUAUAGUGGUUACCUAAUGCAAGCUGUUUUGUUGAAACAAGUAAUGCAUUUUCUUAAAAAGAUAUCUCCAUAAUUCAUCAGACUGUUCUCCAAAUUAGCCAGGUCCAAUCUUCUCCACCUCAAACACAAUAUUACAAUUGCUACAAGGAAACAGCAAUCAGAUUUAGUGGGUCUCUUUUCUUGAAAUAUUUGCUGAAAUGAUUGUGGACUGUUCAUCCAGAAGCUUAACAACCCAAAAAGAGAACUGUAGAACUUAGUAAAGAAAAUUCAAUACGAGGAAAAAAAACAACACAGAGAAAAGAGAGAGAGAUCUUUACAUAUAUGGUAACAAUGACAGGGAGAUAAACUUGGAAACCCAUGUUUAUGUAAAAUGCGCCUCGAAGAAAAAAUAAUUAGGUGGAGACAGGAAAAAUCAAAAAUAACAUUUUGGUUUCUUAAAUCUGAAAGACUUGUAAGUUCUAGCUGGCACUCCUGUCUUAAUUUUGAUUGGAGUGAGAAGCCCAAGAGAUCGGAACUUUAGCUUAUAAAGGGGUUAGCAAUCAAAUUCCUCAUGCUUGCUUAAGCUAAUAGAAAAAAAUGAGAAAUGGAGACUGGUGAAGAGGAAAAGUAUGCAUCUUUGCCUGCCUUGUUCACAUUUUUAAUAAAUUAAGGACUAUGGUUAUUUAUCUGCUGGCAAGUAAACAGUGACAGUAACAACAAAGGUUUAAAGGGUGAUAACUAUCUUGCUUUUAGCCAGUAAUAGUAAGAGAGUGAUAUGUUUAAUUCAACUCAGCCAGGAUAAGUUGAAGGAAAUGUUAGCUAAGUGAUGCUUCCGUUAGGUCUGUCUCAACGACCAUUUUCUCAUCUCUCCUUUUGCUUUUCCACCAUCUUCCAUUUUAAUGCCUCAUGCACAAACAAAGUCUUCGAGUACCUGGGAGCUUUUAGUACUACUGAUAGAGUACGACAUGCUAAUAUUUUGUCGUAAUAUGUUGUCAUGUCUACCAAUAUACAUGUUUUUCGCAUUAGAAAAACGAAUAUACCCUUUCAAAAGGAUGUUUAAAACCUUACGUCCCUUAAGUUAUUCUGGUAUCAUUGUUCUGGAAGUACCUCUUACAUCUAUCCACCAAGAACCUUAUGGCCUACCAGAAUUAAUUUGCUUAUUCUCCAAAGUUUAGUCAUUGUUGUCUUUAAAGCAAGAGGGGAGGCGCGAUUUUAUGCCCCUUUGACCAGAUUGUUGUUAAUAUGCUUCCACAUGUUGGUAGUUCACUUGAGGAUUCAUCAUGAAUUGGCAAGCUUUAUGCUGACUGUCAGCCUACCGCAACCCUCCUUUAUUCGGGCUUAGGACCGGCAAUGUGAGCAAGUUCACACAAGCAGAGUUAUGUUGGUAGUUCACUUAUAAGAAAUAAAUUAAAAUAUCAUAGCUAAUGUUGAUUAAGUUAGUCACUAUGCACCUAUUGCCUGUUCCAAUUUACAUUCAACAUUAAGUACGUUAGUAAUUUGACACAUCUAUAAUGAAGUGCACAAUACGUUGGUUAGAAGCAUAGUGAUAAGUCAGUGGCAAAAAAUUCAGUGUCAUAUUUAAAAAUAGUUUCUUUCAUUAAUAUCCUCGUCUUUUUAUGGGUUAGUGUUGGAGGGAUUUGGAGAAGUUGGGGUAGGGACUCCUGUUAUAUGAUGAGCUGGAAUUGACAAAAAUAGUAUUUUAUUUAUUUGUCUCAAUUUCAAUUAUCUUCCAUAUAGUUUUGGUUUUGUUCAUGUGUGUGAGAGAGAAUGAAAACUUCCGCAGAAGUGAUCUUGGCUAUAUAACUUUGUGACAACUUACAUUUUGCUCAAUUAGGUGUACAAAGGAGGUGGAGGGAAGUAAAAAAAGGAGGAUAUGGGUAUUUCUACCCAUAAAAAAAGGAUAGGGGUAUUUCCAAUGUCUAUUAAAGAAUUACCGGAGACAAGAGUGGGUUGCUCUAGUGGUGAGCACCCUCCACUUCCAACCAAGAGGUUGUGAGUUCGAGUCACCCCAAGAGCAAGGUGGGGAGUUCUUGGAGGGAAGGGAGCCGAGGGUCUAUCGGAAACAGCCUCUCUACCCCAGGGUAGAGGUAAGGUCUGCGUACAAACUACCCUUUUGUUGUUGUUAACGAAUUACUGGAGGAAUAUGCAAACUUUAAUUUAGUGUGUUGAAACCCUUCUUGACCGGAAAGGAAGGAGGAAGUAGGAAGAUGCUUGGAUAAGUUUAGAAGUUGGUCAAACUAGUUUUUAAGCACUUCUUGGCUUAUUUUGGUGUUUAGUAGACAAAACAAGUGCUUUUAAGCCAAAAGCCAUAAGUUGGUAAGUUGGACCACCCCAACUUAUGGCUUUUUAGCUUAAAAGAUCUUUGAGUUUGAUUGAGCAUUUUACUUUGUUAUCCCUCACGUUCUCCUAUAAUUCCCAAAAUACUCUUCGCUACACUAAUAAAAGCCCUAACUCCUCCCUGGAAGUGUGAGGAUUACCAAGUAAAAUGCUUCUCCAAGAGUUUUUAAGCUGAAAAGUCACAAGCUGGUCGUGCCCAACUUAUGGCUUUUGUCGUGUUUUGGUUUAAAAGCACUUGGCGUAGGAGCACUUUCGGUGCUUACCAAACACCACAAUAUGCCAAAAAUAUGCUUUAAAGCUUGUCAAGAAGUAUUCUUGGGGUACCCAAGCACCCUCUAAGGCUUGUGUAAAGAAUUAUUCGUUGUUUCUUUGCCCAGCAUUUCUCUCAACACUGUGGAUAAAAAAGUGAAGUGCUUCAAGUGCAUUCCUACAUCGGAUAUUUUAAUUACUUAUUCAAGAGAAUGAAAGAUGUUCAACUACAAUGUAAUUAUCCUUUUGAAAAUCCUUAAUCUACAAACGACCAGUACCUCUUCUAUUUGAUUAGGAUAUUGUAUAUGUGAUGGUAUUGUCCCUCAUCUGAAUUAGACAAUGAUUUUUGGCAUGUUCUCAUGUGCUGUGAACUUUCUUAUGUCUUUUGUGUUGAAAACUUGAAAUUAGAUGGACAACUUUCUUGUAAUUCCUUUCUUUUUGUAUUUGAUCUCUGGACGCAUUUGAGACUGCCUUUUCUUUUUUCUUUAUGUUUUUCAUUUUUGGGUAAUAUAUUUAUGUUGUGAGAUGCAUUUUUCAAGUGACCAUUAUCUUAAAUUUGUUACCAAAGGUUCUCUCAUAUUAUAUAUAACUAAUAAUCCAUAAUUGCAGGUCAUUUAAUGGAAAAGAUCGAAGCUGAAAAUUUGCUGCAUAGAGCUUUCAGUGUAUUUCUGUUUAACUCAAAAUAUGAAUUGCUUCUUCAGGUGGGUGGUAAAAAUAAUUCGCUGAAUUUUGCCUUUAGGUUUGACAAAUUUUCUCUGAAAUGGCUGAUAGAUGUAACUUGUCGAAUUGUUCUGUGGGUGAAAUGGUGGGAGUGUCCAGUAUGAUUCCAUCUUAGUAUUUAGAUAACCUAUCAAACUAAUUGACUAAGCUGUAGAACUGGUUUACAGUAGAUGUAUCUUAAUUCUUGGGUUGUAUGCGUAAUUUUAUAACUCUGAAUGAUGAAGCACUUAAUAUAUACUGUCUUAUUCUAUGUACAGCAACGAUCAGCAACAAAGGUGACCUUUCCUUUGGUAUGGACUAACACCUGCUGCAGCCAUCCACUCUACCGAGAGUCUGAGCUCAUUGAGGAGAAUGUUCUUGGUAUAUUUUCUGCUUAGCUAAAAUGUCUAAUUACAACCACGUUUUCUUCUUCACCUCACUCUGUAUCGUCAACUGCCAGGGGUAAGAAAUGCUGCACAAAGGAAGCUUCUUGACGAAUUGGGCAUUCCUGCUGAAGAUGUCCCAGUUGACCAGUUCACCCCAUUGGGUCGUAUACUUUAUAAAGCUCCAUCCGAUGGGAAGUGGGGAGAACAUGAACGUAAUAACUCAAUCUUCGUUAUUUUUAUCUUACAGUUCUAGCCUGGAAACUGGUUCUGUUCGUUACAUGCAAUUUUGAUUAUAACAGACAUGUGCUGCUUGCCUUUGAUCUCAUGCCCAGCUUUGACCGUAUCUUGAGAUUAAGUGUUUACUGUACAAUUGGCAUUUGUAUUGUAGAUAUAGCUAUAACUGGUAGCUGAUCCUUGUCUACUGUUGCAGUUGAUUAUCUUCUAUUCACGGUCCGUGAAGUUAACAUGAAACCGAACCCGGAUGAAGUUGCUGAUGUUAAAUACGUGAACCGAGAACAACUGAAAGAGCUCCUGAGGAAAGCAGAUGCUGGAGAGGAAGGUCUGAAGCUAUCCCCUUGGUUCAGACUUGUAGUUGACAACUUCUUGUUCAAGUGGUGGGAUCAUCUUGAGAAGGGAACCCUCGAGGAAGUCAUAGAUAUGAAAACCAUCCACAAAUUGACUUAAAAGGAGCUGCCUUGCGAUCUGGUUGGACCAUCUUAGUUCUUUCCCUAUAAACCAAUAACUUCAGUUGUGAUUUUCUGAAGGCAUAUUUCUGCAGUAUGUUUGUUGCUUUUUGUAGAAUUUGAAGGAGGUAUUUUUUUGACUGAUUGUACCUUGUAACAUAGCUGUGGCUUUCUGUCGAAACUCAAUAAGAUAGCUUCUUGUUUGGUGCUUGCAACUUUAAUAUUAUACCGGAUUGGUGUUCUUGGUUGCUCUAGUGGUGAUCACCCUCUGCUUCCAACCAAGAGGUUGUGAGUUCGAGUCACCCAAGAGCAAUGUGGGGAGUUCUUGGAGGGAGGGAGCCAAGGGUCUAUCGAAAACAGCCUCUCUACCCUAGGGUAGAGGUAAGGUCUGCGUACAAACUACCCUCCCCAGACCCCAUUAGUGGGAUUAUACUGGAUUGUUGUUGUUGUCUAGAACGCAUCCCUCGGGAAGACAGUUUUUAAAAGCGACAGAAAUUUUGAGAUCUUUCGUAUACUUAUGUACCAAUAAAUAUUGAUGAAAAAGCACGAUACUGAUGAGUACAUGUUUUUAAGUCAUGUAAAUUACAAGAGAUAAAGUAAGCGUUUGCAACUCUGAGUGUGCAAUUAGUUCAGCAAAAUGUCCUGAUUGUGUCCAAAAUUGACCUUGUAAAUUUAAAUCUAUAAGAAAAACUUGACUGUCGAACAGAACAAGAUCCAGGUAUGUAUGAUAAAGCCUAAACAACUACUUAAACAGCACUCUGUCUUGUAACUAAUGCUAUAACGAGCAGUCUAUCCUUGAGUUUCACUUCUAAAAAUCUUCAACUCCUGGCAUGUCACUCGCUUGACUCAGCUGUAUCCUCCCUAGUCACAGAAAUGCUUGAUGCAGAAUCAUCCGCCAACUCUGGCGAGACACUCUGUUGAAGCAUUGCCUUCCUCUUUCUUCUGCUCUGGCGCAAUCUUCUUACUGACUCCGACACAUCACUUUCUUCUCGAGCUUUCUCUUGUGGUUCUUCCGAUGCUUCGACUAUUAAAUUCUCAUCAACGUGUGUCCUAAAGCUUGUUGCGAUCACUGGAAAUACGAGCGGUCUACACCAGUUGAGGAGAAUUAUGAGCAGAGUAAUGAACAUAUACAUCGAGGUCCAAACUGAGAAUGUCCAUUUCCACUUGUACGCCAAGUCUUUAUACCAAGGAGGAUGAGACUUCAAUAUGAUCUCCGAUUGAUAAAGCUGGGGCAGGGCUAAAGUUCCAGCUCGAGGUAUCAUAGUUAUUCUGAUUGCCUCUGUCCUCGGAGUACCUUCCUUGUGCUUUAACAUUGGAAUGAUCAUCCUUUGUGUUUCAGCUGUAAGUCCAAGUACAAGGGGCACACUCAUUAUAAAUUCUCUCAUGAGACGGAUUGGCAGGCUUCUGAAUCGCAACAUACAUGGAUGACUUGAUCUUGCCAUUAUGAUCCCCUCGGCUGAUAACGCUUCUGAAACCAACUGAUAAGAGAGUUAUGAAUAGCUAAAGUAAUGUUAGAUGUUUGACAGCUCUUUUGUUCUUUAGCUAGAGAGAUAGGCAAUUGAUACUUCCACAUCUAAUGUAAUGAAAAUACAGAUUUGAAGUAUUCUACAGAUAAUAACAGCGGAAUAACUUAAUUACGCGUAUAUGACCUUAAUACAUGCACCUAGAAGAGGAAUUUAAUCUUUUCAAGAAUUUAACUGUGUUAUUGCUAUUGGGAAAACGCACUCCCGAUAGUAUAUAAUUGUCUUUCACUGUUAGUGUAAGUUAAUAUGUGAUAACAAGUUGAUUAUUUUUUUUACCAGGUUCUCAAUUAAAGCCUAUCAUACGAAAUUUACUAUUGUUAACACUGUCAAUAGACUCAUUGCUAGUGACAUAAAUAAAGCUAACCAAAAAUUGAUGUGCAUUGAGUACCUAACAAUGUCCAAUACUUUGACUCCACAUCCUUUAAUGGAAGAGUAUUGAAAAGAAAAGUUAAUACACUAUAUAAUAACUAUUCACUAUAAAAGUCAAAGUUUUUUAUGGAACUAAUUUUUAGGCUAUAUUAUAAUAUAUGUUCUCCAUAACAGCACUUAGCUAUAAGUGCGAAAAAAAUCCAGAGCGUAAAGUUUCUAAACUAUGACAAUGAUCCCUGAUUUCCUUCCUAUAACCAACGAGUAGUCAUUCAUUAUAUCAAUUUAACAUUUAUGGACUUCAAUAUCACUUUUUUCCCACUCAUGAUUCAAGUGUAAUGACUCUCAAGACAUUGGAACAAUCUUUAGUCCAUCAUCAAGAAACUACACAUGUUUGUUUGAUAGGCUAUUGAGUAAUAUUAUCAAGUUUGUAUCCUACUCACAAAUCGAAUGAAUGUUCAUCCAAUAUUAUACCAGGAAAACACCAAUAUCUCUGUUGAAAUCAGAUUCAGGCAUCAGUAGAAACAAAGAAACAUACAUUGUAUGUCCAACUGGCACACCAAAAUUCUUCUUCUGCUUCAUCAUCAUAAAAUUAUGAUUAUAAUUCUCCACACCAUAUUCAGCAAAAGAAAACACAGCUUUUGGAUGAAUAUCUGCAUAAUCAAAAUAGAGCUGCUCUCUCAAUACCACAGGCUCUUCAGCCAACAUUCUCACUAACCCAAAUCCCAAAACCCCCGACAAAAUCAACAACGUUGUCAAAACCAUUCCAACAUAAGCAGCUCCAAGAAUUCNNNNNNNNNNNNNNNNNNNNNNNNNNNNNNNNNNNNNNNNNNNNNNNNNNNNNNNNNNNNNNNNNNNNNNNNNNNNNNNNNNNNNNNNNNNNNNNNNNNNNNNNNNNNNNNNNNNNNNNNNNNNNNNNNNNNNNNNNNNNNNNNNNNNNNNNNNNNNNNNNNNNNNNNNNNNNNNNNNNNNNNNNNNNNNNNNNNNNNNNNNNNNNNNNNNNNNNNNNNNNNNNNNNNNNNNNNNNNNNNNNNNNNNNNNNNNNNNNNNNNNNNNNNNNNNNNNNNNNNNNNNNNNNNNNNNNNNNNNNNNNNNNNNNNNNNNNNNNNNNNNNNNNNNNNNNNNNNNNNNNNNNNNNNNNNNNNNNNNNNNNNNNUUCUUCAACUCGGCUUUCCUUUUGGGAUUUGGCAUUUUACUGCAGCUGAGUGACAGAUUUUGUGCGAGAAGUCCAGGUGUGAAGUGCACAAGGAAGAAGGUGAGAAAAGUGGCAGUAAACUUAGCUCAGGAGUUGACAAGUGUUAUGGAAACAAACGCUUGUUUUUUUAAUGGGAAGAUGAAAUAAUAUUUGGAAAUUUGGGAAAAGGAAAGGAGAAAUUCAAAACUUUCUCAUGAAAAAAAGAAAAGGAGUGCAUUUGGUUAAAAUUUCAAAAUGGGGGAUUUGCCUCUCUUGAAUUCCAUUGACUGCACACACUUUUUUUUGCCUCCCUUUGUUGUGUUCUCGUUUAACAAAUCAGAAGUCAUUGUGUAUAUUUAACCAAAUCAGAAUCCGAUGUUUUAUAUCAUCUAUGGCUACUCUUAUCCAUAGAUUUAAGAAAUAUUUUCAUAAAAGUGUUUACUACAAUUUAAUUAUAUUAUUUUAACUCCAACUUAAAACAGUGAAUUUGUGUUUAGAAAAAGUUAUUUUAAAAUUAUUCCAAGUUAAAUAGAAGUAAGAUUAUGGCUAACAAAUUUCAAUCAUAUUUAAAAGUUAAAUCCGAAGGCAAACUUCAAAUACCCUUUGUCAACCUCAAUUUUAAGUACUUCCUCUUUAUUCUCAACUACAAUCAAAUACUGUCCAAACCUUUAAUAUUAUGGCAUGAAUGGUCAUUGAUCAUACCUAUUGUAAUAUGUCAAAUAUUAUGGUAAUAAAAUUAUUAUAGGACAAAUGUAAUGGAAGCAACAUAUCUUGACUAUAAUAAUUUUGAUCAUGACCAUAUGGUAUAACUUUCUCCUUGAAAGAGAUAUUUACCAUAUGGAUGUUGAUGAAUAUGUGGAAGUACAAUAUUAGUUGAGAGCUUUGGAAUAGCCAAUUAUACUAUUUAAGAGAAAUAAAAUUGAUUAUCAAUAAGGUAUUGUGUCGUAGUAAGUCUCAAAAAAACUUAUUGACUAAAGUAUUCGCGAAAGCGGUUGGUUAUAUUGAGACUAUAAAUAAAGAAAAAAUUUAAUAUCUUCUAUUACUACAACCUGUGAUGGGGUCAUAUAAAUGUGAAAAAAUAACCGCUUUAUUCUCCAGUUUGUACUAUACAAAUAAAAGAAUGCCACAAUAAAACAGAAAUUUAUUGAUAUAAAAAUUCAUAUCAUAAUAAACUUGGAGUUUAUUGAUAAUUACGCACGUCAUGGUGUAAACCUAAAGUUUAUCAAUAUUAAUAAUUUAUUCAGUUGGCAUAAUUAGUUUAGUUAUGUCAAUUUUAAGUAUAAUGUGCAAAAAUAAAGAGAAUUCACAUGGGUAAAUGUUAAAGAACCGGAAAGUUCUUUACGAAUUCUCUUAUGUUGUUUGUUCUCGUUAAUUAAUAGACCAACUAAAAUUGGAAUUGAAUCCCAUGAAUGUUGGAAAUAUCAAAGGUAAAUGUGGGCUCAUUCACCUGCCAUGUAUACCACAUUAAAUGCAUCUAUGAGAUUGGUUACAUGUGUGAUUAUUAUUAACUCGUAACCUGGUGUUUGCGAGGUAACUUGCUCAAUAAUUUAAUUUAGAGCAUAAUUUUCAGAUUUUCUAUUCAAGACAGUUCAUCUUAAUAGGUUGGUUUACAUCACAGUUGGUUUAGCAAAAUGAUUUAUCGAGUGCCCCCACUUAAUAGCUAAACUAUUGUUUAUGGGAAUAAAGUAAUCCAUAUUAGUUUGAUAUACGUUAUAUACAAAAGUGUAUUACAUUCUCCCCUAUCAAGUGGUUCAGGGUCAGGAACCAAAUAAUUCUAUUUUAUUAUUAUUAAUAUGCGGUGUAUACUUUGAUUAAUUGCAUAGCACACAAAGGUGGGUUUCCAAAAGUUGAGGAAGCAAGUUAAUUUUUCUAACAUGAGGGGGAGACAUGAUAAACAGUUGAGAAAAAAGUUGCGUGGAAUGAAUGAUCAUUGUACAUCUAGAUCCUAGAAUAAGAUAAUAUGAACUUGAAAUUCAUAAAAAGAUAAUUCAUCUGCAAUAUAUUGUAAAGUGUCAUGACCCAAAAUCUAACUAGUCGUGAUGACACCUAACCCCAACCCGCUAGGUAAGCCAAUUAACAGCUAUCAAAAUUAAUGAGAUUUAUUGAGAAAUGUAAUGAUAAUAUAACUGAACUUCUAUACAAAGAAUUCCCAAGGACUGGUAGUACAAAUCAUGAGCUUAUAAGAUUUAGAGUUUACAAAGCUAGUAUGAAAUAAAUACAUCAUCUGUUUGAAAUAUACAUGAAUAGAUUAAUAAUUCUAAAGCUACCAAGAACAAGUAGCAGCUACGACUCGAAACGCAGGUACGUCUUCAAAUCCAACUCCCGACGUACGCAGCAAUAUAAGCAUCCAAAAUCUGCACGCAAGGUGCAAAAGUGUAGUAUGAGUACAAUCGACCCCAUGUACUCAAUAAGUAACAAACCUAACCUUAGGUUGAAAGUAGUGGCGAGUUGGGACAAGGGUCAGAGUCCAACUCUAAUAACCAGCAACAGUUCAUAACAAUAUAAUAAAAUGAUACACGAAGUAACUCAGAGAUAUGAUGCUCAACUCAUUCACAGCUACGGAAAAUAGGCAUGCUUUUCAAGUAUAACAGUAAAUCCCAAAUCUUCCACCGAAAAUACCAAAAAUGUGAGUAAGUUUAAAAACUGUCAUUUUUUCCAAAGCUUUCAACAGGUAAAUGUUUCAUUUUCAAAUGGCACGAGAAAAAUACAUCUCUAUGCCUACAUGUUAAUAUGUAUGAGAAGUCAUGAAUGACGUGAUACCAUACAGCAUGAGGAAAAUGCAUCUCUAUACCUGUAUGUCAAGUGUGCAUGUAGAAUGAGAUGCAACUCAGUGAUAAAACCAUAUGCAUACUCUCAGAGUAUCAAUUCACCCAGUCCUCCCAGUCACUCAUUCCUAACAGUCACUCAGUCCUCACAGACAUUCAAUCCUCCCAAUCACUCGCCACUCGCGCUUGAUAGGUACCUGCACUCACUGGGGGUGUGUGUACAGACUCCGGAGGGGCUCCUUCAGCCCAAGCGCUAUAAUAAGCCAAUCAUGGCAUAAAUCAAAAUAACAUGUUGUGGCGUGCAGCCCGCUCCCAUAAAUAUCACUCACAAACAGACCAUCGGCCUCACUCAGUCAUCAAUCUCUACAAUCUCCCGGGCUCACAAUGUCAUGAAAGAUCAGCCCAAAAAUAAUGAUAUGAUAUAUCAAUCAGUGGUAAUAGAGACUGAGAUAUGAUAUGUAGAAUGCGUAUGGCUGAGUAUGUAAUUUCAAUAUAAACAGAUAACUCAACAACAAAAAUGACCUCAGUGGGUCCCAACAGGAUAAAUAUAUAGCCUAGACAUGAUUUCUAACAUGGAUUACAGCUCAAUAGCUCUAGUACGUAGAGAUUUCAUGAUUACAGAUAAGAUCAGGUAACUACACAGUACCACAACAAACAAUGGAGUCACAAUUCGUACGGUGCACGCCCAUACGCCUAUCACCUAGUAUGUGCGUCACUUUUACACCAAACACAUAACACGUAUAUUCAGGGUUCAUACCCUCAACACCAAGUUUAGAAGUGUUACUUACUUCGAACAAACCAAAUUCAAUACCGAGCAAGCCAAAUGAUGCUCCAAAAAUGCUAUCCCGCGUGUACCGAUCUCCGAACGGCUCGAAACUAGCCAAAAGCAACUCAAAUACAUCAAAUAGUGCCCAAGAAAACAAACCCAAUCGAUAAAGGUUGAAUCUUUAAUCAAAAGCUCAAAGUCAACCAAAAAGUCAAACCCAUGCCCGUACCUCAAAAUUCGAUGAAACUCAUAAAAUCUGAUAACUCAUUCAAUUACGAGUCCAACCAUACUAGUUUCACUCAAAUUCGACUCCGAAUCGAUAUUAAAAACUCAAAAAUUUACUUUAUAAAUUUUUAGACAAAACGCCCCAAAUUUUACUUUGAAAUCAUCAAUCAAAUAUCAAGAACGAAGAUGGAUUCAUAAAAUAUAAUCAAAACUGAGUAUAGAACACUUACCUCAAUUCAUGUGGUAAAAAUCGCCUCCAAAAUUGCCCAAAUUCGAGCUCCCCAACUCAAAAUAUGACCAAAUGAACAAACCCCCGAUAUUAUAUAUUUUUGCCCAGCUGUUCUAUCUCGUUUCUCAUGACAAAUGAUCCCGAAACUUGCUUUUUAUGCUUUCAAUAGAUUUUUUGUAAAAUUUCAGUCAAGUUAGGCUUUUGAAUCACUCCAUUUGACGUUAUAAUGAAGGAGAUAUGUUGAUUUAAAUAUUUGAAAAUAGUGCAGAUUUUUAAAUACGAAUUCAGUGACAAUUUCGUAAUUAAUCUAAAAAUAAUUGGCUAGCCAAUUCUUAGUAAAAUGACCAUAAAUUACUUAUAAGAUGUCGAAACUUGACGAUUCCAGUUGCCAUGGUUCCAAAAUUACCAUACGGAUCUAAUGCUUCAAUCAAAACAGAAAUUAGAGCUCAUUUGCUUAAUGUGAUGCUAUUUAUGCUUGAAGAAACGACGUCGAAACAUCAAAACGAGCACAACACAACCCAAACCUAUCCGAAACUCACUCGAGCCCCCCGGGACCCCAUACGAACAUACCAAUAAGUCCCAUAACAUAACACGAACUUACUCGAGGCCUCAAAUCACGCAUAACAACAUCAAAAACCACGAAUCGCACCUCAAAUCGAACUUAAUGAACUUUGAAUCUAUCAACUUCCAAAACUCGUGCUGAACCUUAUCAAAUCAACUUGGAAUGAAAUCAACUUGAAGAAAUGACGUCGAAACAUCAAAACGAGCACAACACAACCUAAACCUAUCCGAAACUCACUCGAGCCCCCCGGGACCCCAUACGAACAUACCAAUAAGUCCCAUAACAUAACACGAACUUACUCAAGGCCUCAAAUCACACAUAACAACAUCAAAAACCACGAAUCGCACCUCAAAUCGAACUUAAUGAACUUUGAAUCUAUCAACUUCCAAAACUCGUGUUGAACCUUAUCAAAUCAACUUGGAAUGAACUCAAAUUUUGCACACAAGUUUUAAAUAAUAUAACGAAGCUAUUCCAGCCCCGAAACUACAAUUAGAACCCGAUAUCAUCAAAGUUAACUCCCGGUCAAACUUAUGAACAUUCCUAACCUUCAAAUUUUUAACUUUCGCCAAAUAGAGCCGAAACCUUCUAGAAAUAUCCAAAUACAAAUUCAGGCAUAUGCCCAAGUCCAAAAUUACCAUUCGAACAUAACUGAACAAUCAAAACUCUGAUCCGAAGUCAAAUGCUAAAAAGUCAAACUUGGUCAACUCUUCCAACUUAAAGCUUCAAUCAUGACGUUCAUUAUUCCAAAUCGAUUCCGAAUAAUCUGAAAAUCAAAACUGACGAUUCAUACAAGUCACAAUACAUUAUACGAUACUGCUCAAGACUUCAAAUAGCUGGACGGAAUGCAAAUUCUCAAAACGACCGGUCAGGUCGUUACAGCAUGCUAGAGGCAUUUGUUGACCCAAAGAAAGUAACUAUAUUCUAACUGCAAAUGAUCCUAUCUAGAAGGACAAAGUCUAUGGUAGGCUUAAAGCNNNNNNNNNNNNNNNNNNNNNNNNNNNNNNNNNNNNNNNNNNNNNNNNNNNNNNNNNNNNNNNNNNNNNNNNNNNNNNNNNNNNNNNNNNNNNNNNNNNNNNNNNNNNNNNNNNNNNNNNNNNNNNNNNNNNNNNNNNNNNNNNNNNNNNNNNNNNNNNNNNNNNNNNNNNNNNNNNNNNNNNNNNNNNNNNNNNNNNNNNNNNNNNNNNNNNNNNNNNNNNNNNNNNNNNNNNNNNNNNNNNNNNNNNNNNNNNNNNNNNNNNNNNNNNNNNNNNNNNNNNNNNNNNNNNNNNNNNNNNNNNNNNNNNNNNNNNNNNNNNNNNNNNNNNNNNNNNNNNNNNNNNNNNNNNNNNNNNNNNNNNNNNNNNNNNNNNNNNNNNNNNNNNNNNNNNNNNNNNNNNNNNNNNNNNNNNNNNNNNNNNNNNNNNNNNNNNNNNNNNNNNNNNNNNNNNNNNNNNNNNNNNNNNNNNNNNNNNNNNNNNNNNNNNNNNNNNNNNNNNNNNNNNNNNNNNNNNNNNNNNNNNNNNNNNNNNNNNNNNNNNNNNNNNNNNNNNNNNNNNNNNNNNNNGUAUAGACAAAUCAGUUUCAAAUAAAAUUCUUGAUAAAUAAGAUGAGUAAAUGAUCAAAAUGAUCAUAAUAAGGAAUCAAGCGAUCUAGAAGAUCACAUGACAUAACACUUCAUAAAAUCUCAGGAGAGGUUCAGGUACCUGAAAAUAUGAAUGAAGAGAUCUCUACGUUAUGUCUUUAUGAAAAAAGGAGGUUGGAAAAGAUCGAAGCUGAAAAUUUGCUGCAUAGAGCUUUCAGUGUAUUUCUGUUUAACUCAAAAUAUGAAUUGCUUCUUCAGGUGGGUGGUAAAAAUAAUUCGCUGAAUUUUGCCUUUAGGUUUGACAAAUUUUCUCUGAAAUGGCUGAUAGAUGUAACUUGUCGAAUUGUUCUGUGGGUGAAAUGGUGGGAGUGUCCAGUAUGAUUCCAUCUUAGUAUUUAGAUAACCUAUCAAACUAAUUGACUAAGCUGUAGAACUGGUUUACAGUAGAUGUAUCUUAAUUCUUGGGUUGUAUGCGUAAUUUUAUAACUCUGAAUGAUGAAGCACUUAAUAUAUACUGUCUUAUUCUAUGUACAGCAACGAUCAGCAACAAAGGUGACCUUUCCUUUGGUAUGGACUAACACCUGCUGCAGCCAUCCACUCUACCGAGAGUCUGAGCUCAUUGAGGAGAAUGUUCUUGGUAUAUUUUCUGCUUAGCUGAAAUGUCUAAUUACAACCAUGUUUUCUUCUUCACCUCACUCUAUAUCGUCAACUGCCAGGGGUAAGAAAUGCUGCACAAAGGAAGCUUCUUGACGAAUUGGGCAUUCCUGCUGAAGAUGUCCCAGUUGACCAGUUCACCCCAUUGGGUCGUAUACUUUAUAAAGCUCCAUCCGAUGGGAAGUGGGGAGAACAUGAACGUAAUAACUCAAUCUUCGUUAUUUUUAUCUUACAGUUCUAGCCUGGAAACUGGUUCUGUUCGUUACAUGCAAUUUUGAUUAUAACAGACAUGUGCUGCUUGCCUUUGAUCUCAUGCCCAGCUUUGACCGUAUCUUGCGAUUAAAUGUUUACUGUACAAUUGGCAUUUGUAUUGUAGAUAUAGCUACAACUGGUAGCUGAUCCUUGUCUACUGUUGCAGUUGAUUAUCUUCUAUUCACGGUCCGUGAAGUUAACAUGAAACCAAACCCGGAUGAAGUUGCUGAUGUUAAAUACGUGAACCGAGAACAACUGAAAGAGCUCCUAAGGAAAGCAGAUGCUGGAGAGGAAGGUCUGAAGCUAUCCCCUUGGUUCAGACUUGUAGUUGACAACUUCUUGUUCAAGUGGUGGGAUCAUCUUGAGAAGGGAACUCUCGAGGAAGUCAGAGAUAUGAAAACCAUCCACAAAUUGACUUAAAAGGAGCUGCCUUGCGAUCUGGUUGGACCAUCUUAGUUCUUUCCCUAUAAACCAAUAACUUCAGUUGUGAUUUUCUGAAGGCAUAUUUCUGCAGUAUGUUUGUUGCUUUUUGUAGAAUUUGAAGGAGGUAUAUUUUUGACUGAUUGUACCUUGUAA